AUCAAUUUCGUAAGAGUUUAUGUAGGUAAACACAGCAUCAGAAUGCCUAUUAUUAAGUUUUCUGAGUAGUUUUCGAAGCUUGUCGUUGAAAAUUUGAACAUCAUCAUUGAGCUUGUAUGCACAUGAAGAUGCAUCUAGUUCAUUGGGAUUUUUUUGUAUGUUGGACGGCAUACAUCCUACCCGAAUAAGUCCGAACACAGCUAUCUUUCUUGCUCCUGAGCAAUACAGUUUCUGGCAGCAAGGGAAAAAAAACGGAAUGAAGUGGGGCUCUUUGUUAGUAUCCAAUCACGUCAAACAUUAAUUGCUGUUUUACAAGAGACAUUAAGUAGGGCUGACCUCCAGCUGAGUUUCAUAAGUUUCAAUGAGAAGUUGAGCAUAUUCUUCAGGAGUAUAUAGCUUGCUGCUAUUGUAGUCGUCCAAGAAAUAAUUGUUGAGGUAGUCGUUAUGACCCAUAUCAGACACAUAGAUGCAUUGGCUUAAGUACUUCCUAGCAACUUCCUCGCUUCCCAAGAUCUUGGCAAUUCGUGAAACCGUGAUAUUGUGAUUAUAUAACUGAAUAUUCAUGGUAAAUAGUUCUCCCUUCACAUUCACAAAAGAAUCAUAUGAAUAGUUAGCGUUGCCAAAGCAUACAAGAUUCAUAGUACUGAAUAGUAUAAGGUUUUAGUUAUGAGAGCCAUAUGAUCAGCAAUCACCGUAAGAUAGCCAGUUAAAUCAAGGAUGCCAGCUCCAUUCGAUCCAUAAUUUACACCAUCUAGAAAAUUGGUGCAACCUCCGACACCAAAGUCCGAAAUGUAACUGUCGAAACCUAAUUGUUCAGCUGAAACAAAAAAUAAUAAUAAUUAAGAUCUUCAUAAUAGAGUAUAAAAACAAUAACAAUGAUCACAGCUAUCUAAUUGUAAUUUAAUAAAACGGUCACAACUAUCUUUUAUUUUCCAUUAAAGAAAACUAAAACACUAUAUUUAAUUUGUAAUAUAAGGGAGGAGAGCAAACUGCAGACCAAUGGUGUCAGCUAUGUUGAGACCGUUGCUGCACCUUCCUGAAGCCCCAGUAUCAAAGUCGAUCCCAUAAGGAAGGUAAUUAACUUUAGCUGGAGUGCUAAGGUAGUUAUUGUUUCCGUUAUCAAAGAGGGAAUCUCCAAAGACGAAGUAGCAAGGAACUUGAGGUACGGCCUUUCCAUAAGUCCAGUGUUGCCAGUUUGACACCAGCAACACCACAGACAACACCCACAAUACCUUAAGCCCACUUUCCAUUGACAAAUAAAACGAAAGAAGGAAACAAAAACAGCAAAUAUAGAAAGAAGGAAGAAGUGCGUAGCUAGGGAAGAGUGCUUUGAAGUAGAACGAACCAGGCCCUAUUUAUAGAGUGGAGAUCUAGCUAUCAGCUUGUAAAUGUGUUGUUCCAUUGUAAGCCACGUGUUUUUUUCAAUCUAAUUAGUUUACAAUGCCUUAUAGAUCUGAUUUUUUAAUUCAACGUAACAGUAAGUAUCCUUGAAUCUUGUCACUUAUAGUAUUUCCUCCUAAUAGUUAGAAUUGUGUGGUUUCUUUGGAGUUUGCUUUCUGCUCCUUCUAACAUCAAUUAUCUCAUACAUUUCAUACAUUCUCUUGAUAUCAAAUGAGUAAUUGUUUCUUAAUGCUUUCUUAAUGCAAUAAUUUUGAACGAUUUUUCUUUUUGAGUUCUAUGAUCAAUAAGUUGUUGUUGUUUCACUUUUUCAAACUUCUCUUAAGAAUCAAGAUCAGUAAUUGAAUAGGCAAUUACACUUUCUUCAAAUAGCCAACUAGAUACAUCCUUCCUUCUAAAUGGUUUUUUUGCUUGUUUAUUUUUCAAAAAUAUUUUUGUAUUGAGUAACACAUCAUCUAAAAUGAUGUAAAUAUCUUAACACUUGAUUUUAAAAAUGUUUUCUACAGUUCUAAUGUAUCACUUUUAAAAUUAACUUGAUACAUUCUUGCUUUGUUUUUAUGGCUAUAAUGCACUUUGUUUACAAGGUAUUAAAAUGAAAGCCAUAGCUCCUAUAUAUCUUAGACUAUCCUAGACAACUUUUGGUUAUGUUUUACAAAGCAUCUUUUCCUAUUUAUUGAUGGAGACAAAGUAAUGUAUAUAAUAUGUAUAAAGACAAUUUAAAAAAUAGAGCUUAUAAUUUGUUCUAUACACCAUGUUUAUUAUUAGCAUUAUUAUAUUCUUGAUCUCGUAUAUUGAUAAUAUACAAGUUAUAUCAAGCGAGUAUAUUAAAAAAAAAAUUUAUGGUGUUGGUUUAAAUAUUGUGUCUGUUAAUUUAAUAUUUUGGAUGAUGGUUUAACAAAUAUUUUUUUAGAGAGAUUUAGCAUUCAAUUUGCAAUUGCAAUCAAUAGCUAUAAAUAAAGCAGUCCAACUAAAAUUCAAAUUUAUUAGUUGCUAAAAUCUAAUUUCUAUUAGAAGUUUCCGUUCUUAUUAUUGUUGUGUGCAGAUCUGAUUGUCCUUUUGAUUAACCAAGUAAGGAAUGAUAGAUUUAUUAUAUAAUUAAAAUGCAGAUUAAAUUCAACAGAACCAUAUGACAUUCAAUUCCAGCUUCUUUUAAAUUAAUAAGUCAUAAUAUAAUGAUUAAGUUCCUAUAUUAACAAUAAAAGAAGGUAGAUAGGCUUCUGGUUUAGGCCUUGUUUAGAACUUUUUUUAUGGGAUAUUUUUUUAUGCUUACCCUUUUAUACAAAAAAAUUAUAAAAAAACAAAAAAAUAAAAAUGUGGUUUUGUAUGUGCAUAUGACCACAUCCUAAAUAAAAAUGUUUGUGCAUUUUUAACAAAAAAAUAUAAAAAUAAAAAUGAUUUUUUUAUGUUUCAAAAAUACAAAAAUAAAUUUGUGUUUUCUUGUAUUUGUGGAUUUAUUAUAAUCAUUGAUGAAUUUACAUACUGAUAGUUUUUUUUCAUGGUACAUUAAUCAAUAAUUAUAUUAACAAUGAAAUAAAAAUUACCUACAAUAUAUAUUUGGAUGAUAUUUCUCAUUUGUUGUUAUGUUAGUAAGUGUACUUUUGAUGGAAUCAGGAACACCGAUAAAAUCAAGCUUUAAAUCAAUCAGUAUAUUCAUUGUAUAUUAGAGCUACGACGUCUUGCUACACUGCGAACACACUACCAAAAUCUUAAUUCGAAAAAAAAUAAUAUAAGACGUUCAAUACAAAGGAAAAAGGGCUAUUUUUAAGAUAAAUUUUAUUCAUUGGCUGUGGACGCAUUAUUAUAAGUGGCGUUUAUCAAUCACAUAUAGCGCGAUAAGGCGCCAGGGGCCACAUAUUAGGAUCUCCAUGUUUUAGAAUAUUCGCGUAUUAAAAUAUCUUUGGCACUGCUUGAUUUCUUAUCCCAUUUGCCUUGCAGUUUUCCAUUUCUCUUUCCAUAUUGAAGACAUUAAUUCUCCAUAUUUCCAAGAAUUAUAGUCCGGUUUUUUUUAUUAGAAACAUAUCGAAUCAAUCUUCACACAUUUUAAAUUUUUUUUCCACUACAAAAAAUAAAAACACAUUAGAAACAUCUAAAUGUUUUUUUAUUACAUUCAAGAAAAGAUUUAUCUAAUCCGUAACGAAGCGCAGACUAAUAAUUUAGUAUUAAGUAUGAUACAAAAAAGAAAAAAAAAUCACUAAGUAUAUUUGAUGGAUCAUGAUUUCUAUAAACCAACCUCAUUUAAAAGCCAACACAUGAAAUUCACAACCUAAAAUGAGAUUAUGUCUUUCUCGGCGUCCAACUCUAAGUUGGGCAGGGGUAUGACUGCGCCCAACUCCCUGGUGGGCAGAGGCAUGUUCGCGCCCAACCAUAGGUUGGGCAAGGAACGCGUCUGCGCCCGACCCCAUGAUUAGGCCAGGGUACAUUCACCCCCGACCCUACGUUGGACAAGGGCGCGUCCUCGCCUAACCCCAUGUUGGGCUCCAUUUUGGGCUUGGACAUGUCCGCGGCCAACCACAUAUUGGGCAAGGGACGCGUCCACGCCCAAUUUCAUGUUGAGCAUGUACAUGUCUGCGCCCAACCCUAUGUUGGGUGAGGGACGUGACCACACCAUAACUCCAUAUUGGGCUAUGGCACGAUCAUCCCUUACCAUUCUUGAGUGCAGUCACGAGAAGGACCCGACUCCUCCCGGGCUCAGGGUGUGAGUUGAACCCAACGUCCCUCAUGUUGAGUAUGCAAUUAAAGGGUCAUUCCACACUGAGCCUCCCAUACCCAAAGUUUGGGUUAAUAAUUAUAAUGUCCAUCAUAAUCCUAUUAAAUACGAACAAGCAGUCAAUGCUUACAUUAAUUAGAUGUGAUGGUACGAGCAAUAAGAUAAUAUUAUCUUAAUCAUAUGAGAUUACUUUUCUACCCCUCCUACAUUGCAUGAAACAAGUCAAGUCAGGUAAUAUAAAAAAGGGCAUGAAUAUGCAAAAAGGGGUUCGAAAACCUUAUACUCUAGGACAAAAACACGUUCUCUGCUUCUUCUUCUUUAAUUCUACAUCUUCUUCCCUUUCCUCUUCUAUGUCUUCAUAAAAGCUCAUUAAUAUCUUUAUUAAUAUCAUUUUUUACACAAAUAUUCAUAGUACUGACUUGAUCUUCGGAGGGUCCCCUAUAAACACCCUAGGGGACUUUGUGUAGGCAUUUAUUCAGGAUGAGAUUCACACCUCAUAAGGAGAUCCAUUAAAGAAGAAGUCAAUGAAUUCAUGAAGGGAAGAUCGUAGAACACACUGAAUGAUGUGCAAGAAUUUCUAUGAAUAAUUCAUCCCAGAAUAUUCCCUGUGAUUUUUAUAACGUCAUCAGUUGGCGUCGUCUGUGGGACCCUUACAAAAAGCUAAUUACUUCUCCAGCAAGAAACUAAGCUUUGGCGUACGGUUCCAUCUAUUACACCACCAUGGCAGAUCCAUACAAUCAGGGUGUAUCAUAAAAGCCAACAUUGUUGUUGGCAUGUCUGCCCAACCUCAGAUUGAUAAGAUGGUUGAGCAGAUAUGUUUGCUCUCUAAAGAGGUCAUCAGAUUGAGAGGACAACUCACGGUUCAUCCUCAACCAGCUCAUGAUAUCCCAACACAUGUCUUACAACCUCAGCCACAAAGAACCCCUGUAGCCUGGAGACGCCUCAGCUAUGCAGAGGGAUAUGCGCAGAAUGAGGAGGAACCACCCAGAUGUCAUUCUUGUAGCCCAACUCGAGAACGUUCACAUCAUCCCACAGUACCAGUGAGAAGUGAACAUUCCCGUAAAGUUUAAACUAGCCACCGUGGGAGAGAAGAGAGUCGUCACUCCCGCUGUUCCAUGCUAAAUUCAUCCAGUUCAUCUGGCUCACAUUGGGAACGACCUAGAAGAAAGGCCGAGGAGAACUCACGGCAUCACCAACUUACCCACCAAUAUCAGGUGGAAGGCUUCCCAAGUCCAAAAGAGUUCUAGAAGCCAAGGUGCCCAAGGAAUAUCUAUCAGCGAAGAUGAACCUGGAUAGCUACGAUGGACUUACAGAUCCCCGAAAGCACAUCCAGGAUAUAAGGGGGAGCCUUGAGCUGGUCAUCCAUGACAAUGACGUCAUGUGCAAGAUAUUGCCCACUACCUUCAGAGGGAACAUGAGGACAUGGUACAACAAUUUGAAGUCGGGGUCGAUCCUAAGCUUUCAGGAUCUAUAUGUUAAGCUGGUAACACGUUUCAGCACUAGCAUCCCCACGAAGAAAAGCUCCAUUGAACUAUUUGGAAUUAUCCAAGGCGAGAAACAGUCCACCCAAGCAUAUCUGAGGAGAUUUAAUAAAGAAAUGCUUUGGGUGGAAGACCUACUAAAGCCCAUAGGUUGUGAGGCUUUGAUCAAAGGGGUCAGAAGUGAAGAAUUGUGGAAACAACUCCACUAGCUACAGAACAGAACUCUCUUGAGGGUGAAGCAUAUGAUUAAGAGUCACAUAAGAGUAAAGGAAGCCUUGACUGCUCGUAGAAGCUCCACUCAGGUCUAUAGAGGAGGGAUCAGUAACAAACCCUCCAGCAAGAACCGUUCCCAUGUCAGACAAUAUGAGGUUAAGAAGAAAAAACCCUUCAGGGAACAUCCCAGCAGGCCCGAAAGGGUCUAUACCCCCUGUAAAUACCAGUUACAUGGAGAUCUACAUGGCUUUGAGAGGUCAAAACUUGCUUUAGUAUCCUCCUCCUUUAAAGCCUAACCCUAGCCUAAAGUUCUCCAAGAAGUACUGCCAGUUUCAUAGGGAGAAAGGACAUGACACCGAGGAUUGUUAUGCUCUAAAAAAAGAGGUAGAGAGACUCUUGGCAUAAAGAUACCUUAGAUAGUUCUUAAAAAAGGAUCCAUCUUUGGACAGGAAGGGAGGUGAAGUGAGACAACAAGGACCAACACUCCCAAAGGUCCUUAUCAUACUAAGGGGCUCAUUAACCAAUGUAGGCGUCAUUAGCAAUAAGAAGACAAGGUUGGGAGAUCAAGUUCUAGUUACAAUGGGUCAAGAAAGUUCUUGGCAUGAACCCAUCACCUUCACCCUUGCUGAUGGACAAGGGAUUAAACACCCGUAUAAAGAUGCCUUGGUGAUUUCCAUGGUCGUGGAGGGUUACAAGGUCCACAGGAUCCUAAUAGAUGAUGGUAGCUCAGUGAACAUCCUAUCAGCAAAGACCAUGACAAAUAUAGGCAUAGAUGCCUCUAGAAUAGCUCUAGUGCCAACACCCCUUAUCAGGAUAGAAAGAUCAGCAGUGCCUAUGAAGGGGGCAGUAGAGUUGACUGUUAUUGUGGGGACUGUAACUUGUUGUGUUACUAUCCAACAGACCUUCAUGGUCCAUUGUUGUAACCCAAUUUUAGCCCGUUGGCUUUUGAUUUAAUUUUACAGGGUUUAAAAUGUAAAAUUAAAAGAUCAGAGAUUUAUUUCGAUAAAAAGUGUGAUUUGUCAUCUUACAUGAAAACUAGGGACUACAGUGUGCUUUUGUCAUUCUAUCCCUAUCUUUAAGAUAAUCCUUAUCUUCAAGAUAAUGAUAGUUAUCCGCUUUCAAAUUUGAUUCUUAAUCAAAUUCAAACUUCAAAGAAGAGAAUGAGUUUCAUUGAAACUUUGUUUCUACACGCGAUGAGACUCUUGCACUAUAAAUAUAGAUCUCAGUGUAUGUAAAAAAAGAGGAGAGGAAAACCUAAAAAAAGAGAGCAAAAAAAAAGAGAAUAUAGGAGAGAAUUAACUUGGAGAUAGAACCAAAAAAGAAAAAAAAAGCAAAGAAAGACGAGAGAAAGAUCAAGCAAAAAAAAAACAGAGAGGAGCAGGAGCAAAAAGGCGUUGUCCACAGUCGGUGUUACUUUCAGUCUUCGCCUCUAGCAGCGCUCGUAAACAAGAAGGCAAGCCUCCCUCACUCUCCCUUCUUGACCUCCACACACUGCCCCCCCAUGGCCUCUCAUUCUUCUCUUCCACCAUAGUCCAGCAACCUCCCUAAAGACCAACCAAACCGGCAACAACAGCAGCCCCUCUUAGUAGCAACAAUUAGGGGUGUUCACGGUUCGGUUCGGUUCGGUUUUGACUAAAAAAACCAACCGAACCGAAUUUCAAUAUUUUAGAGAAAUAUUAACCGAACCGGAUCGGAAACCGGUUCAAACCGAGCCAGUCCGGUUCGGUUAAAUCUGGUUUUUUUUGGAAAAAACCGGGAAACCUAAUCCCUUCAUUAAAUCCGGUUUUUUUUUUUUGAAAAAAACCAGGAAACCAAAUCCUUUCAUUUAUGGGUUUUUUUUUCGGUUUUUUUAAAAUUAACUUAGCCUUACAGUAAAUUGAGUUUUAAAAUUUAUAGAAACCUGAAUUAAUUCACAGCUUGGUUGACUUCCAUAAACAGGAAUUCCCUACUGAACACUUAUCUUUCAAAUUUUCAAUAUGCAUGCAAUGUGGAAGUGCCAUCUGCAAGCCUUUCUUCUCCUGGUCACUCCGAACUUUUCUUCUCCUUUCAGCCUUACAGGUUAAGGCAUAUGCAGACAACUUCAAAUUCAAGGGGCAUCCCAAGAUUGAUGACAAAUAAAUUUAUUUUUCAUGUCUUGUUUCCUGGUUUAUAAGCCUGAAGUUGUUCAAAUGGUUUACACUUACAGGCAGUGAGCUAUACUGAGAAAAUCAUAUAUCCAAGGAAUGUAAACCAUUGAAUUCUUCACAUGAAUUUAGACAUGAAUUCAAUCUGACAGAUACAAUGCAAUAAAUCAAUUUCAAUAUGCAAGAUGCAUGAUCAAAUUUUAACACCUCAAAUUAAAAGUUUGUUCGCACUAGAAAAGUUAACAUUAACAAGCGAAUACAUUAGCAACCAGCAAUAAAUUAUCAUAAACAUCCGGCAUAGUUUGAAGAAAAAAACACAGCAACACCAGCAUCCAAAAAUUCCAGCAACAGAAGCAUGGGCAUCCAAAAAUUCCAGUAAGGAUAAUGCUAUAAAAAAAACACUAGCAAAUUAGCAACAUAUUAGAGUUCAACUAUUGAAAGAAUUAAAUUAAGUAUGCAAAAUGUUAAGGGGAAUUAACAAAGUAAAGUAAAUUAAUUACCCAGAACAAUUAUAUUCCAAAAUUGCACCAAGCCACCAAUACUGCUUACAAACAAUCAGUUGAGAUUUUUAAACUUUCACCAAAUUCUACAAAAACAUAAAUUAAAAAGUUAGAUUAAACAUAUGUAAAUAAAUGAUAUUAUAAAAUAACUAUAUUUAAAUUUGUAAAAGAAAUUACCUGACUCAAUCAUCUCAGAAUUUUCAAUAUAAUCCAUGUAGUUGCUGAUGUUGAUUGGAAUUGAUGUUAAACUCAACCAAUUCUGACAACAAACCAGUGCUUGCACUGUCGAUGGAGAUAAAGAGCUUCGAAAUGGAUCUAAAAUACGACCACCAGUACUGAAAGCUACUUCAGAAACAACUGUAGAUACCGGAAUAGCUAACACGUGUUAUGCCACCUUAGAAAGAAUCUUGUAUUUUGUAACAUUACACCUCCACCAACCCAAAAUAUCUAAUUUAAAAUCAUUAGGAUCCUCACAAUCAUCACCUAAAUACCUCUCAACCUCAUUUUUUUUUUGUACACCGCCUUCUUCCUCUAAAUGUUUUUUGAAUUGAGAAGCUAAAUCAUCCAAUAUAUCAUCAUUUACCACCAUUAAAUCAACAUUAACAUUUUCAUUUAUACUAGUUCCAACACCAUGAACAACCUCAACAUUCUCAUCAACAUUCAUAUAAUGCUCAAACAACUUUAGCAAAGUAUCUUUAACCUUAAUUGUAAAAUUUUCAGCCUCUUCAACAUCAUACAAUCUUCCAAAACAAAAUCUCACAUACUUCAAUUUGAAACGUGGAUCUAACACAACAGCCACAUACAACAAAAAGUUUUGUGUAUCUUGAUCCCCCCAAUAUUUUUUAUACUUUGCCAUCAUAUUCUUUGCCAUUUUACUUACAUAAACAUCUUCACUUCUACAAAGUUGAGAUAUGCUUGUAUGCAUGGAAAUCAAUUCAUGAAAGAAAGAAUUAGAUGUCACAUACAACGAGCCAGAAAAUUUCAAUGUAACCGUGUAAAAUAGUUUCAAGAACUUGACAAAAGAUCUAGCCUUUUCCCAAUCUUCUAAAGCAGGAGGACCUAAGUUUUUUUGUUUUCCUUUUGAAUCAACCUCAAAGUAACUCAAAUACCUAGGAUCGGUUUCUUCUAACCUCAUAAAAACCACAUCAAAUUUAUCAGCUGCAUCUAGCAUCAUAUAUGUAGAGUUCCAUUUAGUUGCAACAUCCAAGCAAACAGAUUUUUUACUCCCAAUUUUCAACCUCUCUGCACAUUGGUUAAAAACAAGUUGUCUAGAAGGAGAAGAUCUAACAAACUUCACUGCAUUCCUAAUCUUAACAACUGAAUCAUCAAUAUCUUUCAAUCCCACACAUACAAUAAGAUUAACAAUAUGUGCACAACAUCUAACAUGCAUGAAGUCAUUUGACAAUAUAUUAGUUGUCCAAUUACUUGUUACUCUCUUCAAAUAUUUUAUUGUCAAAUUAUUUGAACUUGCAUUGUCAACUGUAACUGUUAAAAUGUUAUCAAUUCCCCAUUCCAACAAACAACUCUCAAUUGCUUGGCCAAUUGUUUCACCUUUAUGAUUAGAAACUUGACAAAAGUUUAGAAUUCUUUUAUUCAAGUUCCAACCUUUAUCAAUCCAAUGGGCAGUCAAACACAUAUAAUUAAUAUUUUGGAUUGAUGUCCAAGUAUCGGUUGUUAAACAUACACGUUGAUCCUUAAGAGCUUUCUUUAAUUUUUCCUUCUCAACAACAUAAAUUUUUAAACAAUCUCUCCAAAUCGUCAAACGAGAAGGAACAUCAAAUCUAGGUUGCAUUACUCGACAAAAUGAUUUAAAUCCUUGGUUUUCAACAAAGUUAAAAGGUAGCUCAUCAAGUAUAAUCAUUUUUCCUAGGGCUUUCCUACACUCUUCAUAACUAUAACCCACCGCCUUAAUAGUCACCAGAUUUCCCUCUUCACUAUUACCCCCUUUUAUUAUAGGCCUAGGUUGUAAGACUAAAGUUUUUUGUUUUCGGUCAAUCACAAAAGGAAACUUUUUGCAUACACCUAGAUAACUCCACAUGUUACUAGUCCCAUAAAGUAUAGUAUGGCAUGCAUAGUCUUUUCCACAAUACAUACAUGCAGCCGUAGGAGCCUUAUCAUUACCAUCUAAUUUUUUAAAGUGAUCCCAAAUCUGAGAUGUUUUUCUUUUAUUAGAUCUAGAAGCUGGAUUACCUUCACUUUCAGUGUUGCUAUUUGUACUAGAAGUAGCAACUAGAACUGGAACUGGAAAAGAAUUGGGUUCUGAACUUGAAGGAUUUGAUUCAAUUGGUGUAAGAUCUUCCCGAUUAUCCAUCUGAAAUUAAAACAGAUUAUAAAAUAAUGAAAAAAACAUUAUUUGCCUGUGCAGCUAUUAAUGAACUGAAAGUGUGUUUUGUGAUCUAAAAAAAUUAAUUGAGAUAGAUGCCUUGUAUAUUUGCCUGUGCAGCUAUUAAUAAACUAGUUCUAUUUGUUAGUCUCUUUAAAAUUGUGUGUAGAAUUUAUCAAACAUGUCUAUAUUUAACCUGAUAGGCAAAUAUUGUCCUCUGAUCUCGUUCAGGAUCAACCUCAGGCUCCACUGCUUCUUCCUUUCUUUCUUUAUAUCUUCUGCAAGACAAUGGAAAUUAAAAUUAUUGAUCUUAUUUAUAUAACCAAUUAACCAGUAUCAAACAAUGAGGAAAACAGCCAGGAACUAAAACAUUCAUAAAGAAAAUGCAAAUAUAAUGCUAAUUUAUCCUUCAAAAGAAAGGAUGUUUUUUUCUUAUAUUUGCUUUAUCAUCAUUAAAGAAAAGGUAGAAAACAAUCCAAAACAUUAUAAAAAAUGUCUCCAAUACAAGUUAAAACGCCGAACCUACGAAACAUAGUCCUGCAGGCAACUGGACAACAUUAACAUGAGAGGACCCGUGAAUGUCUGUUGAAAUUAAGACAUCUUCAUCUUAAAAUUAACAAGAACCAACCUGAGGACCAAUGUUGCAAAUUGCAACUAAGAGAAUUGAACUACAAAACCCAAUUUCAAGUGAUGAAUUAAUAAAUUUGCACUUUCGAUAAAAACAUAAUCUUAAAUGGAAACAAUAUCAUCAAGUUGUAUCAAUGGCAAUACCAAUGGACCUAUAUGCAUUAAUAUGACCUGUUAACAACUUAAUAGAGUUAAAUUUGUAUAUCCCAAAAAGAAACCAUCAGCAGAAGGCAGGAAAUAAGCACUCAGAAGCUAAUAUCACUCCCCAGUCCCCACAGUUCUACUACCAGUCCCGUAGAUUAUAGAAAAAUACAUGCAGAAGGAAACUGAAACCUCACGAAGUUAAGAUUAUCAUCAUACAGUUUUUUGGAACUUCUAUAUCUAACAAUAUAAACAAAUGAGAAGCAGAGGUCAGAGAAGCAUCAAAGUUUGAAACAAAAAGUUGAACUUAUAAGCAGUUAAGCACACGAAGAUAAACUUACCAAUGGAGGAGCCCUGUCGUUCUGCUGCAAGUGAAGAGAGAAGCCAAGAGGUUUUCUUCGGGCUAGAGAAGAGACAGAUGCAGGGGGCAAGACAGAUGCAGAAGGGAGAAGAGGAAGGAUGAAAAUUGAAGGUGAAGGGCAAGGCAGAUGCAGAAGGGAGAAGACGACAAAUCAUCUUUAGCUCUUUGCUCUUUGGUGUGGACGGCGGCUUCAGUUCAGAUUUCAGAAUGUCAAUUAGACAAUUAGGGUUAGGCUUACUGAGUUACUGUGGUAUUUAUACUACCGGUUCGGUUCACCGGUUUAAGUGGUCAAACCGAAACCGAACCGAACCGGCAAGAUUUUAUGGUUUUAAAAUCGGUUUAAUCGGUUUUCUAUCUCGGUUCGGUUUUCUCGGUUAAUUUUUUAUCGGUUUUCUCGGUUUUUUCGGUUAAUCGGUUUUUUUGAACACCCCUAGCAACAAUAAGGUUUGGUUACUUACAGUCACGGGAACGAUGGAGUCUUUAUCAUUCGGGCUAAAAAUAGCAGCUCCCUUAUUGUCACUGCACCAUUACCAGCUCCAGCAGCAGUCCAGCAAACAAUACUGCGCACCUCCUCUAGCUCCAUCAAUAUCCAGCAGCCAACACUGUGCACCGUGAGCAUGCACCAGCCUUAGCAGCAACAACCUUCUCUUCUUAGUAGAGAGAGGAAAAGUAUAGAAAAACACAAAGGAGAGUAGCGGUGGCACAAGAUGAGAAGAAACAAAGGAAAGAGUUCCUUUCCGGCCAGUAGCCUCACGCCUAGAUCACCAUCGCCCUCGACUUACAGCAACCAGGUAACUUCUUCUUCUUUCUGUUUUGCUAGAUUAAUUAGUUUGUUACUGUUACAUGCAUGCGUGAAUUACUCACGCAUACAUGCAACAAUGCUUUUUUUUUCUUUUUUUUUUACCGGAACACAAAAAAAAAAACAACAAAAAUAUAUAUAUAUAUAUAUAUAUAUAUAUAUAUAUAUAUAAUAGUUUCUUUUUCUUGUAAUAUAAAUUUUACGGAUUUAUUCACUGGCGCAAAAGUCAGGAAUACCAUACUUUGUUGGUUGCACAAUAUUUACCAACAUCAGAGUUAGAAAUAUUCAUAGGUGAAUAUUCACUGACACCAGAGUUGGGAAUAUUAUAGGAUGACCAUAAGAAUGGAACACAAACAAACCUUUAGCAAUUUAAGAUAAAACUAACAAUGCAGCUUGCCUCAGGUAGGACGCUUAAGGGGUGAUAAUAUCUUCCCUUUCGCGUAACCAGUCCCGUACCAUAGAAUCUCUGUUGACCAGUUAGGGUUCCUAGUGAUCAUAAUACUAGGUGGCGACUCCUUGAACAAGACCUUUUCCUCUAAAAGAACAGGAUGCCAGAUAUUUCUUUGUUUUCCAAUCUCGUGAAAAUUUUUUAAUUGAUCGCCGCGAUGUCCAGGUGUGACAGUCAUUAACAUCCAUCUCCCAUACAAUGCCAUCAUCGGGAGGCCAUUGCUCUAUCAUAUCAGUGCAGUGGUCAGCACCAAGUAUUUGACCAUUAAGUUCCCAACAGUUAAAGGGGUAACUGCAGUGAGGGGGAACUAGGAAGCCUCAAGAAAAUGUGCAAACACCUCUCUAAAGGGCAAGAAGACCCUACUGGUCGAUCACCUACAAGACCUACAAGGCUCUGAUCUUCCUCAUGCGUGGCACUCAGACCACUUUAAGUUAUAUCCUUGUUGAAUACAUAAAUAUCUAAUGCAUAUUUUUAUCACUUAUGUUUUCACUUAAUUUUUACGUUCCUUUUUUAGGAAUACUUCUUACCAAUCCAAUCAGGGUUACACACCCCUGUGGCAUUCAGGACCCACUUCUCUAGGACAGUAGUGAAGUCCUAAGUAAGCAUCAACCUCUACUGUCACCAAUCGGGGUUACACACCCAUGUGGCGUCUGGGACCCACUUUUCUGAGGUAGUAGUAAGGGAUCAAUGCUUCACUCUUCAGGAUGGCUUUUAACGCCCCCUCAAUUCCUUUUGUCUAGCCAUUUUAGUUAGAAGUAAACGCAUUGGAGUGGCCUUAUCAGGUCCAUCAUGUCUGUCCAAAUGAGCUACAUAUCUCUCCUAGACAACAUGAGACUAGUCUCUAUGACAUUUAAGAGUGUUGGGACGACCUUAUCAGUCUUACACCAUCUAUCCACUCCAGGUUACACACCCUAUGUGCGGUAUAGAAUUUACAUCUCUCCUGGAUAGUAUAGGUACCAACUUCUAUGACAUCAAGUAGUGCUAAAACCAGCUCUCCUACAACAGCACCUCCUACUAGUCCAAACAGGGUUAUACACCCCGUGGUGUCUACGACCCAGUUCUCCAGGGUAGUAGUGAUUGUCCAAUGCUUCUAAAAAAAAAGGACUGGGAAUACAUCUUAAAGAUUCAAACAACAAACUCUCCGAGAACACAAUCCCUGCUAGUAAUGCUAAAACCAGCUCUCCUACAACAGCACCUCCUACUGGUCCAAACAGGGUUAUACACCCUAUGGUGUCUACGACCUAGUUCUCCAGGGCAGUAGUGAUUGUCCAAUGCUUCUAAAAAAAAAAGACUGGGAAUACAUCUUGAAGAUUCAAACAACAAACUCUCCGAGAACACAAUCCCUACUAGUAAUGCUGUGAAAAGAGGGAGUAUAAAGGACAUCUUAAUCAGGAUUACGACUCAACUAAGGUUAGUAAAAAAUCUCUUUAGCCUUAAGUCUCCCCAUUUCUCCAAAAAUGAGCAGACUUAGGGGGCUACUGAUGGGUCAUUAUUUCUAUAAACCAACCCCAUUUAAAAGCCAAAACACAAAAGUCACUACCCAAAAUGAUAUUAUGUCUUUCUCUACGUCCAACUCUAAGUUGGGUAAAGGCAUGUCCGCACCCAACCUCAUGUUAGGCCAGGGACGCGCUUGCGCCUAACUUUAUGUUGGGCCUGGAUGCGUCUGCGCCUGCACCCCACUCCAUGUUGGGCUAGGGACGCGCCUGCACCCCACUCCAUGUUGGGCAUGGACACGUCCUCGCCCAACCCCACGUGGGGCAAGGGACGCACCCACGCCUAAUUCCAUGUUGAGCCUAGACGUGUCCGCGCCCAAACCCAUGUUAGGUUAAGGACGCGACCACGCCCAACUCCACGUUGGGCUGUGGCACGGACAUCCCUAACCAUUCUUGGGUGCAGUCACAAGCUGAACCCAACUCCUCUUGGGCUCCGGCUGUAAGUUGAACCCAAAGUCCCUCAGGUUGAGUGCACGACUGAAGGGUCAUUCUACACUGAACCUCCCAUACCCUGAGUCUGGGUUAAUAAUUAUGAUGUCCAUCAUAAUCCUAUUAAAUACGAACAAGCAAUCCAUGCUUAUAUUAAUUAGAUGUGAUGGUACGAGCAAUAAGAUAAUAUUAUCUUACUCAUACGGGAUUACUUUUCUACCCCUCCUAUAUUGCAUGAAACAAGAUAAGUCAGGUAAUAUAAAAGAGGGCAGGAAUAUGCAGAAAAGGGUUCGAAAACCUUAUACUCUGGGACAAAAACACCUUCUCUGCUUCUUCUUCUUUAAUUCUACAUAUUCUUCCCCUUCCUCUUCUCAGUCUUCAUAAAAGCUCAUUAAUAUCUUUAUUAAUGUUGUUUUUUACACAAAUAUUCCUAAUACUGACUUGAUCUUCGGAGGGUUCCCCAUCCACACUUCUAGGGGACUUUAUGUAGAUAUUUAUUCAGGAAGAGAUUCACACCCCCUGAAGAGAUCCAUUAAAGAAAAGUCAAUGCAGUCUUAAUUAAAAGGAAGAUUGUAGAUCACACUGUGAAUAAUGUACAAGAAUUUCUAGAAAUAAUUGAUCCUAGAAUAUUUCCUGUAAUUCUUUGUAACUUGUAACGUCAUCACGUUUAAUUGUGUAUUAUCCUUAUAUUAGAGCUACGACGUCGACGUCUUGCUACACUACGAUCACAACCAAAAUCAUAAUUCGAAAAAAAAAAUAUAAAAUAUAAAGCGAUCAAUACAAAGGAGAAAGGGCCAUGGAAUUUGAUAUUUUUAUUAUUAUUCCUUAAGAGAAAUUUUAUUCAUUGGCUGUAGGCGCAUAAUUAUAAGUGGCGUUUAUCAAUCAUUUAUAAGGCGUCGGGGCCCACAUGAAACACACCAUGCUAAAAUCUCUUGGAACGAACUUAUCAAUCAUUUAUAACGCGAAAAGGAUUUGACGCCCACAUGAAGGGUCGUCGAUUUUUGUGUGCAGAAUUUCAUGAAUAUGUCUUGAGAAUUUUGAUGAGAGAGGGUUAAAUAACAAAUUUUUUUAAUAUUUAAUCAUUAUUGUACCCCACAUAUUUUUCAAUUGUUGCUAUAUCACUAUUUAAUGCAUCUUUUUAACCCUUCUUUUUUCUUAUAUCUUAAUUUAAAUUAUUCUUGUAAAUGUUUCGAUUUUCUAUAAAUGCACCUCUAAAAUCAUAUCAUUUUUUAAAAAUAGUAUGCCAAUAAUACUAAAUACAUAAAAUUUGAAAUUAAAUGCUUAACUUCUUUCAUUUUUUUUAUCUUAAAUAAUUGUCACAAGAAAUUUAUAGAAACAAGAAAGUAAUUUUUUAAAAACGAAUUAGUUUAGAUGUCAAUAAUAUGUUUAAAACCUAAUUAUAAAAGUGGUAUUUUUUUUAUUUUUUUCCAACGGUAUAGAUUUAAAGACAAAUAGCUUACUAGUUCUGGCAUUGAUUUCAUGUGUGAUGACGAUAACUACUAUGAGUUUUCAGAUGGCAGUAAUUUUACCAAGGCUUAUGAUGUAAAAGAUGGGUGGCUUUUCUGAAGUAGCUGAGGUCUCUACAGAUUAGUGAAACCAAGCUAAUGAAAGUGCAGGCACUGACCCAACAUUUCAGUGUUCCGAGUACCACCUAGUUUUUUCGUGAAGAGUUUGUAAAUGAAUUAAUAAUAAUGUUCCAUUAACUUUUGUUCCAUUUACUUUGGUUCCAUUGACGGUAGAGAGGACCUUUGGAUUAAUAACAACAAAUUGAAAAUGUUCGAGUGGAAAAUUAGGUGUACUAUUUAAUUAGGUGGAAAAUGUUUCUCAAAUUAAUGAUUAAAAAAAAUUAUUGUAUCUUAUAUUUUGGAUGAUGGUUUCACAAUUUCUUUGGGAGAGAUUCAGCAUUCAAUUUGCAAUUGAUAUUUGGCAUGAGUUGUAAAUAAAGCAGUCCAACUAAAGUUCAAAUUUAUUAGUUGCUAAAAUCUAAUUUCUAUUAAAAAAAUUAUUGAUGUUUUUAUUAAGGAAAAAGGGCUAUGGAAUGUAAUAUUUUUUUUUAAUUUUUUAAAAGAAAUUUUAUUCAUUGGCUGUAUACGCAUAAUUAUAAGUGGCGUUUAUCAAUCACAUAUAGCGCGAUAAGGCGCCGGUGCCCACAAUUAUGACGUGGAAACGAAUUGACGGCCACAUAUUUUUAGAAAGCUCCAACAAUCUUGGCACUUACUUGCUAUUUUAACAUCUUCAGGCCUGUCUUGUAUCCAAUCUUGGCACUUACAUGCAGCAUUGUGCGGUUCAGCUUUUCCAGAACGUUAAUUUUCACAAUAUCUUGUAUGAAUUUUGCCUCAUGUCCACACAAAGGAAAAAAAAAAAAACAAUUAGAAAACAUGUAAAAAGAAAUGGUUUGUCACUGCUUCAUUGCUCUUCUUUAUCUCUUUUGUCACUACUUGAUUUCUUAUCCCAUUUGUCUUGUAGUUUUCCAUUUCUGGAUAGUUAAAGGAAAAUACAAACUACGAAGGAUAGUUUUUAUUAAAAUCUAAAAUAUUAUGCACGUGGCUAUGUUUAUUUAUUUUUUAAGAUUGUAUUUUUUUUUUUUUUGUCAAAGGAAGACAUAAAAUAGUUAACCAAACUAGUGUUAUUAAACUCGGCCUGGCCCGACGGGUCGACCCGGUGGUUGGACCGGUCCAGGUUUAAUAAAAGACCGGCUGUGGCAACAGCCCGGCCAAACCCGGGCGACUCGGCCAAACCCGGACGAGACCCGGUUUUUUUGUUUUUUUUUUUUCAAAUGUGAGAUUUGAAACCCAUUAGUAUAUAUACUCUAUGUUUCCAAGAAAAAAGUCAUAUUUUUUCAAUGUGGGAUAAAAAAACCUUUUAGUUUAAAUACUUCAACUUAAAAAGAUAACAUAGUAUCUUUUCAACGUGAGAUUUGAAGCCCUUUUUGUAUAUAUACUCUAUGUUCCCAAGAAAAAAAUCAUGUUUCUUCAAUGUGGGAUAAAAAACCUUUUAGUUUAAAUAUUUCAACUUAAAAGGAUAACAUAUUAUCUUUUCAAUGUGGGAUUUGAAGCCCUUUCGUAUAUAUACUUUAUGCUCCCAUGAAAAAAAUGAUGUUUUUUCAAUGUGAGAUUUGAAACCCAUUAGUAUAUAUAUUCUAUGUUUCUAAGAAAAAAAUCAUAUUUUUUCAAUGUGGGAUAAAAAAUCUUUUGGUUUAAAUACUUCAACUUAAAAGGAUAACAUGGUAUCUUUUCAAUGUGGGAUUUGAAGCCCUUUAGUAUAUAAACUCUAUGUUCCCAAGAAAAAAAUUCAUGUUUUUUCAAUGUGGGAUAAAAAAACCUUUUAGUUUAAAUACUUCAACUUAAAAGGAUAACAUAGUAUCUUCUCAAUGUGAGAUUUGAAGCCCUUUCGUAUAUAUACUCUAUGCUCUCAUGAAAGAAGUUAUGUUUUUUCAAUAUGGAAUUUGAAACCUAUUAGUAUAUAUACUCUAUGUUCCCAAGAAAAAAGUUAUGUUUUUUCAAUGUGGGAUAAAAAACUUUUUUGGUUUAAAUAUUUCAACUUAAAAGUUUAACAUAAUAUCUUUUUAAUGUGGGAUAAAAAACUUUUUAAAAUAUUCUUUUAAACUUCAUUGUUUACAAUAUGUAUAACCUAUAUUUACAUGGAUUUUUUCAUAUGAAAUAUUAAAACUUUAUUUUUAAAAAAAUUUUCAGGUUGAUCCGGGUCGACCCGAGUUGACCCAUGAAACCCGGGACCCGGCCCCUUGUCGGGUCAACCCCCGGGCCGGGUUUAAUAACUAUGAACCAAACUAUGAAAUGUUGUAAAACUUCCUCUAUGUUAUUAUUUUUUCGUGAUAUCGAAUUAAGAAAACCAAUCCAAGAUGAAAACAACUCCAAGCCCCUGCAAGAAACACAAAAAUUAACCACACCAGAAACCGGGCAAGGAGAUGGCAAGUGGGGUGUGUAUUUAAUGACCACUGGCUCUCAGCUAACCAAUCCAAAAAAAGGAUUUAUGGUUUGUAUGUGAGGUUGGAUAGUGGUUUGUUAGUUGUUAAAAUAUUUUGAUGUAUAAUUUUUGGGUUAGUUUUUUUUUUUAAAAAAAGAAAAUACAUCUCAGAAAUAUUUGACUAAAAAGUAUGGACAUGUUUAUAUGUUUGGAAUACAUUGUAUAUAAAAUACUUGAUUCAAAAAUAUAUUUUUUGGAUAUAGAAUUUAAUUCUUUUUUUUGUUUUUGAAUGUUGAUAUUGGAAACAAUUUUUUUUAGCUAAUUGUUUACAAGUAAUUUGUUGAUGGUAAUAUUAAUGGAGUAUUUACUGAAAAACAUUCCAAGUUAAUUUGAUUAGAGGGCUUUGCUAUAGAUAUUUUAAAGAUUUUCAGGGGGAGGAAUUUGAAAUGCCGAGUUUUUGUUUUUUAAUACCAUUUCCUUUCAAAAUUUUCCGGAAUUAAAUAUAUUUUUCUUAAUUAGAUACAUAUAUUUUCUGUUUAAUUUUAUUAAUAAUAACAUAAAUAUUUUAAGAAUUUUGCCAAGUAUUUGUUUACUGCUAUUUCCUUCUAAACUGAGAGGAAUUGAAUGAGAAAUUUUAUGGUGAACAAGUUGUAAUUAGUGAUAUAAUAUUAGUUAUUUAUUGUGAUCCACUUUAUAGAAAUAAAUAGAUACAUGUAGGAGAAAGAAAUACUAGUUGAAGAUAUUCUUAUUAUUUUUGGUGAGUUGUGAAUUUUAUACUCUCUCACUUGUAUCCAUUUCUUUCUUAAAAAAAAUUCAUUGAUUAAUUAAUAGAAUGUCAUUUGUUACAACUUGACUACCAUAAAGUUUUUCAAAAUGAAAUAUGCCAAAAAAUCAAUUUUCUUUUUUUAGAUACAUAUAUUUUCUAUAUUAAAUUGACUAGCUAAUAUUUAACUUUAUUAAUAAUAAUAAAAAUGUUUAUGGAAAUUGAUGUACAUGUAUUUGAUAGGAUUUAAACUUGGAGAAUUUAAUCUAGUACUAAAAUAAUUUAAUAUACUAUUUCAUUUGAUAGUUAUAAUUUUAUAAAGUUAAAUUUAUUAUUUUAUGUAUUUGAAUAUAUUAUUUUUUAAUACAUGUUAAUACGAAUGUUUAUACUAAAACAAAUAAAUAUCUUAUAAUUAAUUAACCAAAACUAAGACCGAAAAACAACAUAUGAGUGAAAACAUUAUUUACUAGAAUAAUGUUUUUAUCAUUUUUUUCUUCCGAAUAAAAUAUGUUGAACUUGUUAUUGGGGUAAGAUGGUCAUUUUAUAAGGACUCAGUGGUCAUUAUUUAUUUAUAUAGGGACAUAUUGGUCUUUACAUUUUAAAAAUAAACAAUUAAAUGAUUGUAUUACCCUUAAAGUCAAAUAAAAAAUAACUUAUAUGGAAGAGGUUUUUUUUUUUUAAUCAUUUCCAAUUACCAUGCACAAUAAAUUACUCCACUACCCUUUGAACCAAAAUUUUUAAAACUAUCAUCGAGGGACUCGUUGGACUUUUUACCUUGUAUUUUUUUUUUUGUAAUGACCAAUGUAAAUGAUGGUGAGUUUGGUCUUUUUUGUGUAUUAAAAAUAAUUUAAAAAAAGCUAUCACUUGAAAAUUACGCACUAGUGUAUGUGAGGGAGGAUAGUCGCGUUCAAAUGGCGUGUGUGUCCUCCUCUGUUAGCCAAAAAUGAUUGACCACCGUGACGUAGAACUACCAAGUGGAGGAGUUUCUAAUGAGGUGACACAUCCAUGGUGGUUCGCAGCAGUUAGGCGGUUAUGUGACUUUUUCUUUCCCCCUCUCUUUUCUUUCUCAUAUUCUGGAGAUUCGCACUGACCCAACCAUAUUUAAAAGGAGUCCUUCUAUUUGUUUUGUAUUUCAAUUAUAGUUAUCAUGCUCUUUAUUUGUUUUAAAUCUUUAUUAUUUUUUGCAUUUUUCUUUCCAGUCUAAUCCAUUGGCAAAAUUCAAAGGUGUCCUCUUAUUUUCUAUUUAUUUUAAAUUAUAGCUCUCAUUCUUUUAAUUACUCCUUUUUUAUUUUAAGUUUUUUUUUCUAUUCGAUUCAUCCCUUGACAUCGCAAGUUUACCAUGCUAACUAGAAUUGGUUUGGGGCUUUGAAAUUAUUUUAAUUUUAUUUUUAUGUAAUUUAAUUUUCAUGCUUACAAAAAAAAAUGCACCUCCUUUAAUUUUAUUCUUUUGUUCUUUUUGAAAAAUAAAAUUAAGUCAGCCAACGCUAGCGUGUUUAGGUUCUCGUAUGCUCGUGCCUCUUUUUUUUUUUGGUUCAUUGGUUUUGUUUUGUCCUUUUUUUAUUUUUUUUCUUUCCGAUUUCAUCUAUCGAUUUUAUUUUUCUGUUGAUUUUUUGUUAGCUUUUUUAGUAAAAUUUAAACAAUUCUUUUGUAUUUUUUAUGGUGUUUUCUAAUUAGAAUAUUAUUUAAUUUAGUGUAUGGCCUAUUUUAUUUUAUUUUUUAAAAAUUUGAUGUGCUUUCAACCCCUUAAAAUUAAAAAAAAAACUAAUUUUUUCAUUUUUUUCUUUUUCUUUUCUAAGUUUUUUCUCUUAUUUCACUUGAGAUAUAAAACCCUCUUUUUGUUAUCAAACUUUUUUUAAAAAAUACAAAAAUAGAGUUUUUUAUUAUUAUUUCAAGUCCACACACCAUCCUUAUUGUUUUUUGGAAAAAAGAAAAUUACGUGUUUAGAUGAAAAGUAUCCUUUAAAUUGUUUUUUAAAAAAACAAUUCUAAAAUCUAAUGGGGUUUAGGACUUGGAUCUUACGUUUAUCAUGUUAAUUCCAUUUUACUUUUUUUUUUUUCAUUUAAAUUUUUUUAUUUUUAAUUUUUCCCAUCAACCUUUUUUUCUUUGUUUGUUAUAAAAAAAAAGGUUUAUAAGCUCUCAUAAUCUCAUAUUCGAUAUCCCUUUUUUAAAAGAAAAAUUUCUCGGGUUUUUUGUGGUCAUAUUUUUUUAAUUUGAUCCAUUUAUUAUCAUUAUCUAUUUUUUAUUGUCUCAUUAAAAUAAAAAUAACUUAUUUGAUGCAGUUAGAUCUAUAAUCCAAAUUACAAAAGUUUCUUUUUUUUCUUUUAAAAAAAUAUAGUUUUAGUAUCUAAAAAUUAUUAAAAAAAAAACCUGAUGACAUAGACGGAUCCACAACUAAUUAAUUUAGAUAUUGUUUAAGUGUUAAUGGUAUAUAUAAUAGCAAAAUAUUGGUUUGCAUUCCUAGUGAGCAUAUUUUUAUUUUUCAUCUAAUACAAAUAUUGCAUUCUUAACUAUCACAUUUUUAGAGCAUAUUUAAGUAUAUGUACAUCUUCAGUGGGUUAAGCUAUAUUUUCAUUUCUUUCCUUUUUGUUUUUUUUUAUUAAUUUAAUUUUAAAUUUCAUAUUAUAGGGCGGACACGUAUUCUCAUAAGUUUUAUCAGUUAUUCAAUGGAAGUCAAAACAUAGUUGGACUUUACCCCAUAUACUAAAACAUCUUGGAUAUGCAUUAUUCAUUACAUUGUUUAUAUGAACAGUGUAAUUUUUUUUUUAUCAUCAAUUUUUUUUAAUUAUAAUUUUAUCCUCACAAGUUACAUUAUAUAUAUAGUUUUAUAUGUUGAGAUUUAGAGUUGAAAAAAAAAUUUGAACAACCGAUUACAAGACAGUCCAUUCCACGACCAACCAUAUAUAACUACCAGUCAUUCUUAUACCAUCUCUUUCCCUCCGUAUAAUUGUAUUAUUUAUUUAUUUUUAUAUAUUUUUUACAAAACAUAAAUCAAUUAUACCAAAACAAAAGUAAAUAACAAAGGCACUUUAUACAUAAAAAAAAAAAACACAAAGAUAUCCUUUUACAGAAAGAAUAACAAUCCAUUAUGUUUGUAAAAACAGAUUGAAGAUUGAGUUCAUAAAGGUACUUCAAAUGGCAAAUCAUAACUGAUUUUGAUUACAUAAACAACAAAUACAGAGCAAGAGAUUAAAAAAAUAGUCAUCAUAUAAGGAUACAUUAAUUUUAUUUUAUUUUUAUUUUAUAAGUUUUUUACUUUCUUUGAUUUGACAAAAUAUAACCUUAGUUGGCAGUAAAUUUCAUAUAUCAUUUUAUAUUGUCAUGGAUUCUUUUAUAGAAUUUUAAAGAAUGUCAUACUUGAUUUAUAUUAGUAAUAAAGCCUUAACUGGUCCAAAUUCUGAUUAUAUAAACUAAUCAUAAAUUAUCUUUUCUAUUUGCAGUCCUAGCCACCAUCUUACUGGUUAUUGUACAUCUUCAAUACAUCUUUACUUUCGUAAUAAAUAAAUAAAUAAAUAAAUUUUAAUUCAUUUAUGAAUCCAACUUCAUUGGUUUGGAGUAUAAAUAUAAAACUCAGCCCGACCCGGUAGGUUAACUCUAGACCUGGACGACUCGGGGCCUUGGCUAGGUUUCAAAUGGUCAAAACUCAUGCUUGCAAUUAACAUGGUCAAACCUAGAUAACCUACCGACUCAACUUGAAACCCGGGUGACCCGACAUAACCAAAGUGAGACCUGACCUCUUUUUUUAAUAAACCUAAAAAAUAUAAAAUUAAUUUGUGAAUAGUUAGCCUCAUAUAUUUUUUUACAGCAUACAUUCCCAUGAAAUAUUUCUUAACUUUUUUAUUUUUCAUGUGGGAUAAUUAAUUAUAUUUAUAGUCUACAUUCACAUGGAAAAAUUUAGAUAGAUAUAUAUAUAUAUAUCAGUUAUUAAUUAUUUUUUUAUGGAAUAGCUAUAUAUAUAGACUACAUAUACAUGAAGUGUUUCUUAACUUUUCCACAUGGAAUAGCUAUAUAUAACUUAUAUUCACAUAAAAUAUAUUUUAAUUUUUUUUAUGUGGGAUAUUAAAACCUCAAAAUGUUUUUUAAAUUUUUUUCUCAAUUGACCAGAUCAACCCAUGUAACUUGAAAUCUAUCCUCUUAAUUAAGUCAAUCCAUGAGACAGGUUUAAUAAAUAUGGUUUGAAGAGAACUUAGUUAAGAAAUGGAAAGGUUAUUCAUUUGAAAAACUAAUAGUUCAGGGAUUGAUGGAGUUUUGAGAUACAACACCAGUACUCACUUCUCAUAUUUAUUCAAAUGAAGUCAAAGUUCUUGCAAUCAAAAGACAUUUCUAGCACAAUCGUUCGAUUAGUAGACGAUAUUGGAAUCAAAUAUUAUAAGAUUUUAAUUUUAAUUUUUAUUGACAAAAAAUCUUAAUCAUAAGAACCUUAAUUUUUAUUUUUAUUACUCAAUAUAUCUAUAAUUAAUACUGAAUAUUACAACUCUUUGGUUGCUUAUAUAAUAUAAAAACAUCAUAAAUAAAGCUAAAAGAAUUCUAAACUAAAUAUUAAGUAUGAAAAGAAAGAAGUUUUAAUCUAUACAUUUGGGUAUGUAUGUUAGGAUUGAAAUCCUCUUGUCCCACUCCCAAUAUAAUCAAGUCAUGCAACACGCAAUCAGUUUAGAAAUUUGUUGAGACCUUAAUUGGUAAUGUAGAGAGGGAAAAAGCCGAAGUGAGUCAAAGAAAGACAAGCCUACCAUGUUUACAUAUGGGACUUCGCAGAUAUAAAUAUAAAAGUAAAGUUCUUUUGGUUUAUGUACUUUCAUAUGUAUCCUUCUUUUGAUUUCAAUGGCAAGAGUAUCUCCGAAUAGACUUCCAUACAUUAAGAAUAAAUCUCUCUAUGAAUGGAUUUUACGUAUGAUAUCCACAUGAUUAAGGAAUUAAGUAAUUGUUAUUGUCUUCUUGAGGCGAAUUCCCUUCUAGCAGGCAUCAUUAUGAAUUCAUUAAUUAAAAUCAUAACAACUUUCGGAAUGCGUAAAUGCAAAUUUUAUUGGAAUUAUAUUGUGAAAGGCUAUGAAAAGACAUAAAAUAUGUCUUUCAAUUGUUCUUACAGUCACAAUAUCUUAUUCUCUGACUGCUUAUUAGACAAUCGUCUUCUCCAUCAGAGCUGGGCAUGAUUGAUAUCGUAAGCAUCAGAAUCAUCAAGCUUCAGCUUAACUAGUUCGCUGAUAUCAUAUGGAUAAGCGUCCUUUGGUGACUGACGUUUAUAUGCUCUUUUUCCAAAGGCCCAAGCUUUAGCUUCAGUAAAAUGGGCUCCAUCCCAGUACACAUAGUCACUCCUGUUGCUACAUGGGAAGGAGAGAGAUUUACAUGGGACUGAACCAGAUUCUACAUCGCAACAGCUCUUACGGGUUUGUGUAAAACCUGCAACCAAGAAAAAAUAACAUGGGCAUCAGAGGCGUAACAAAAAUGUCGCCUUCAACCGUGAGAGAAAGAGAGCAAGGGAGGGAGGGGAUUCGUACCUGUAUUUGUCUGAUCAUCAGAAUCAAUUUCGUAAGAGUUUAUGUAGGUAAACACAGCAUCAGUAUGCCUCUUAUUAAGUUUUCUGAGCAGUUCUUGAAGCUUGUGGUUGAAAAUUUGAACAUCGUCAUUGAGCUUGUAUGCACAUGAAGAUGCAUCUAGUUCAUUGGGAUUUUUUUGUAUGUUGGACGGCAUACAUCCUACCCGAAUAAGUCCGAGCACAGCUAUCUUUCUUGCUCCUGAGCAAUACAUUUUCUGGCAGCAAGGAAAAAAAAACGGAAUGAAGUGGGGCUAAUCUCCAGCUGAGUUUCAUAAGUUUCCAUUAAGGUCUUUGUUAGUUUCCAAUCACGUCAAACAUUAAUUGUUGUUUUACAAGAGACAUUAUGUAGGGCUAACCUCCAGCUGAGUUUCAUAAGUUUCAAUGAGAAGUUGAGCAUAUUCUUCAGGAGUAUAUUUCAAGCUGCUAUCGUAGCCAUCCAAGAAAUAAUUGUUGAGGUAGUCGUUAUGACCCAUAUCAGACACAUAGAUGCAUUGGCUUAAGUACUUCCUAGCAACUUCCUCGCUUCCCAAGAUCUUGGCAAUUCGUGAAACCGUGAUAUUGUGAUUGUAUAACUGAAUAUUCAUGGUAAAUAGUUCACAUACACAAAAGAGUUAUAUGAAUAGUUAGCGUUGCCAAAGCAUACAAGAUGACGAAAAAAUCAUACGGAAUAAUACAAGGUUUUAGUUAUGAGAGGCAUAUGAUCAGUAAUCACCACAAGAGAGCCAGUAGAAUCAAGGAUGCCAGCUCCAUUAGAUCCAUAAUUUACACCAUCUAGAAAAUUAGUGCAACCUCCGACACCAAAGUCCGAAAUGUAACUGUCGAAACCUAAUUGUUCAGCUGAAAAAAAAAAUAUAUAUAUAUUAACAUCGGUUAAGACAAGUCAUCUUUCAGCAACAAAAAUAUUAGUACCAGACUUGGCAAGAUUUCUAAUUGUAAUUUAAUACAACUGUCACAACUAUCUAGUUAGAACAUAUUUAUUUUCCAUUAAAGAAAACUAACACACUAUAUUUUGUAUUAUAAGAGAGGAGAGAGAACUGCAGACCAAUGGUGUCAGCUAUGUUAAGACCGUUGCUGCACCUUCCUGAAUCCCCAGUGUCAAAGUCUAUCCCAUAAGGUAGGUAAUUAACUUUAGCUGAAAGGUUAAGGUAGUUAUUGUUUCCGUUAUCAAAGAGAGAAUCUCCAAAGACGAAGUAGCAAGGAACUUGAGGUACGGCCUUUCCAUAAGUCCAGUGUUGCCAGUUUGACACCAGCAACACCACAGACAACACCCACAAUGCCUUAAGCCCACUUUCCAUUGACAAAUAAAAUGAAAGAAGGAAACAAAAACAGUAAAUAUAGAAAGAAGGAAGAGUGCUUUGAAGUAGAACGAAACCAGGCCUAUUUAUAGAGUGGAGAUCUAGGUCUCAGCUUGUAAAUGUGUUGUUCUAUUGUAAGCCACGUGUUUUUUUCAAUCUAAUUAGUUUACAAUGCCUUAUAGAUCUGAUUUUUUAAUUCAACGUAACAGUAAGUAUCCUUAAAUCUUGUCACUUAUAGUAUUUCCUCCUAAUAGUUAGAAUUGUGUGGUUUCUUUGGAGUUUGCUUUCUCCUUCUAACAUCAAUUAUCUCAUACAUUUCAUACAUUCUCUUGAUAUCAAAUGAAUAAUUGUUUCUUUCCUAGUAGGCAUAUUAGCCUUUUUUAGCUUUCUUAAUGCAAUAAUUUUGAACGAAUUUUUCUUUUAAGUUCUAUGAUCAGUAUAAGUUGUUGUUAAUUUUUCCGUCGGCGUAAGACACAUAUUCUAUUUGUAAUUAAUUUACCGACGGAAAUGCUUCGUCGGUGAAUCUUUCAUCGGUAAUUUUUUCUCCGUCGGUAAAUCCAUUGGUAAUAAAAAAAUAAAUUUAUCCGCUUCAUUCCGUCGGUAUAUCUCUCGGUAAUAAUAUUGUUUUAUUACCAACGGAUUUACCGACGAAAUUACCGAUGGAAUUUUCGUCGGUAAUUAUUUAAAAACAUUUAAAAAAAAUCAUUUUAUAAAAUUAUAAAAUAAUUAAAUUAACAUAAAUUAACACUGUAUAAUAUAUACUCAAAAUGCUUGGAAAAAAAAAAUAAGAAAAUCAACUCAAACAAAUUUGCAACAAAUAAAUAAAACAAAAAAAUAAAUUCAACUAAAAAAAUUCAUAUGAAAAAAAUAAAGUUGCAAUUGCUAAAAAUUUAAAAAUCCUAUAAAUAAAUCUACUAAAAAUUGAUCUCAUAUGAAAAAAAAAUCUCACGACAAUAUUUAUACAAUUAUUAAGAACAAAAACAAUUAAAAAUAAAAUAAAAAACAAAUAUAGUGAAAAAAAUCAUGAAAAAAAGAAAAAAAAGAAAAAUCUUACCUUAAUGUAGUUGCAAGUGAAGCUAAGGAGAGAAAUUUUUUUUUGUUAAGCAUAUUAAUUAAAAAAAAAAACUAAGAGGAUAAAAGAAGAAAGAAGAAGAAGACAUACCCAAGUAUGGAGGAAAAGAGAAGGAGAUGAGGAGAGAAAAGAAGAUAAAGAAAUAGAUAAGAAAUGAUGUUUUUUACAUAUAGUGAAGAAGAAGAAGAAGUAGAAGAACAAGAAGAAGAAGAAGAAGAAGAAUAAGAAAUGAGUCUGUCUCUUGUGAAAUAAGGGGAUUCAGGCUUUUUAUUGGGGCGCUUUACCAAUGGAUUUACAGAUUGAUAAUUGAAUAUUAAUAUUUUUUUAAUUAUUCCAUCGGUAAUUCCAUCGGUAAUAUUUAAUUUAAAUUUUAAUUUCGUAAAAAGUUUUCAGAAACCGCCAAAAAAUUACUGACGAUUUUUCAAUCCGUCGGUGAUUCCGUCUGUAAUAUUUAAAUGAAAAUUUUAAAUUAAUUGAAUUUUUUUAGAAAACCACCAAAUAACACCGACGAAUUUUCAAUCCGUCGGUGAUUUUGUCCAUAAAGAACAACAAUUAACAGUGCAAUUGAAAAGUGAAUAGUUCUGGAGCUCUCUGGAAAAUACCGACGGAAAAUUCCGUCGGUGAUUCCCUUUGUAAUUGACAUGAUGAACAUUGUUCAUAGUUUAUCAAUAAAUUUACCGACGGAAUUACCGACGGAAUAAAUUCCGUCUGUAAUUCCGUUGGUAAAAAUGACACGUUAUCAUUUUUUUUUUUGCUUUGUUUUAAAUUUUUUUCCCACGGUAAUUCCCUCGGUAUAUACCGAGGGAAUAUUUCCGUCGGUAAAAUCCCUCGGAAAUUUACCGACGAAAAUAUUCCCUCGGUAUUUCCGUUUGUAUUUAUCAAUUUUCUGGUAGUGAGAUCAGUAAUUGAAUAGGCUAUCACAUUGUGUUCAAAUAGGCAAUUAGGUAUAUCUUUCUAAGUGGUUUUUUUUGUUUGUUUAUUUUCCAAAAAUAUUUUUAUCUUGAGUAACAUCAUUAAAAUGAUGUAAAUAUAUGAAUAUUUGAUUUUAAAAAUGUUUUCUAAGGUUACAAUGUAUCACUUUCAAAAUUUACUUAAUACAUUCUUGCUCCGUUAUGACUAUAUUGCACUUUGUUUACAAAGUUUUUAAAUGAAAGUCAUAGCUUCUAUGCACUCCUCUAGAUCUUGGACUAUCCUAACCAAGCUAGUCAAUGUUACUUCUGGUUCUGUUCUAUAAAAAGGCUCUUGAAAAUAGUCUUGCAUCUCUUCCCGCUUAUUGAUGGAGUUAGAUGAGUGGGCAAACAAUGUACAUAAUAUACAUAAGGACAAUCUCUAAGAAAUAGAGCUUCUAGUUUGUUCCAUGCACCAUGCAUAUUGCUAGCACCAUCAUACCCUUGACCUUAUAUAUUAAGGACAUGCAAGUUAUAUCAAGUGACACAUCAAGCUUUUUUUUAUUAUGGUGUUGGUUUAAAUGCUAUGUUUUUAAUCUGAUAUUUUGGAUGAUGGUUUUACAAUUUCUUUUGGAGAGAUUUAGCUAGCUUUCAAUUUGCAACUGAUAUUUAGCAUGGGUUAUAAAUAAAAGCAGUCCAACUAAAGUUCAAAUUUAUUAGUGUUGGUUAUUGGGCUAGGCCUGGUUCGCCCAUGAUGGAUGGGCCUAGUCCAAGUUAUUAGAGGAGUUACUAAAGGAAGUAAUCGCCUCCUCUAAUCAUACAUAAAGAGACAUAACCCAUAUGGAUAAAUAUGAAGGUUUUCAUUUGUUGAAUAAUCAUUCUCUCUUUCUCUUCUCUCAUCUUGAACUCUCUGUAUUAUUUUAACAAGAUUUAUAAAGACGUUCGUACUGUGGAAUAUCACUUUGGUUCUAGUAAUUGAAGUGACACUGAAAUAAUCGAUUCCAGGAUAAGAAAACGAAUUCUCACAAGUAAGUUUUCCUUUCCAAUCUACAUUGGUAUCAGAGCCAUGGUUUUUAAUAUUGUUUUUAUGCAGUAUAUCUGUUAUUAUAUAAAUGAUAGAUGUAAAUUUUGUGUUAAAAGAAUACUUCCAUUGAGAAUUUUGAAUUUACAAAAUUUCAUGAAGUAAUUUAGUUAUGAAUUUGUCUUUUCUAUAAUUAAUUGGAAAAGACUUUCUGCAUGGCAGUUGUAUAAUUCUAUUAUCAAUUCAUGUGUGAAUUGAUUAUGGAAAUGGAGAUUGGAAACUGCCAUUUCCAUUUCCAUUUCCAAUUGACUGCAAUUGCAGUAGUCAAUUGGACUGUCCAUUUGACAGUUGGAAAAACAAACUCAAAAGAACACAUCUUUUAAGAGAUGUGUAACUGCUAUUCGGCAGUUAAUAUUUCCAUUUCCAAUUGACUACAAUCCCAGUAGUCAAUUGGAACUGCCAUUUGACAGUUAAUUAACUGUCAUUUGACAGUUGAAAAAAAAACCGAAUGAACACAUCUUUUAAGAUAUGUGUAACUGCCAUUCAGCAUUUAAUAUAUAUAUUAAUAUUAAGAAUAAUAUUAAGACAAUUAAUAUAUUUUUUUUGGUAAUAUAAAUUGUCAAAUUGUGGUGCCAAUUUAUUUACUGUUAAAAUAAAUUUCUUAAUUUUCGUAUGUUUUUUUUUUAACAUAUAUGAUGAUACAUGCUUUAAUUAAAUAUUAAGUAUAAUAGUUAUGUGCUUUUUGGAAUAUUUUGUUAUAGUGGAUAGAUAACAACAAAUUGAUCAUUUAUUGGGUUAUGCCUUUAAUCGUGUUCACAAAAUUCAAGAGCACAUUGAUUAUAUGUAUCAUUGGAUGAGUAGACUUGCUAUGAGUGGUGUUUAUGAAUUCUACAUGGAACAUCAAAUGUUAAUCGUUCUCAAUUCUCUGCCUAAGGAAUGGAUGUCGGUGCGAGUAUCGUUGGAAUAUAGGCUGGAAUCCUUAGAUUUCAACAAUCUCUCAGAUGAAAUGCUGCUUGAGAGGGAACGUCAGUAUGCUAAAAAGGAUAUACGACGCACUGGAAGAAGCGCAGGUCGUUUGGAUGCUGCUGCUAAAUUCAUUCCAUGGUUUGAAGAGAAUGAACUUGGAGGAGAUGACUUUGAUGAAGUGGAUGACGUAACUGGAGACCCUACUUAUAUGCCUACAAUAUAAAAUAAUUCAGAAAUUUAUUAUUCUUUAUAUUGUAUUUUUUUUGUAAUUGGUUGUUUAUUGUGAACUGUGUAUUUUAUGUAAUUUAAGUUUUAAUUAUAUUAUAUGCAUAUAUAUGAUAAUAUCUGCAACCUGAUAAGUGAGAGUUGUUAGUUGAAACUAAUAACUAUAAUUUUACACUCAUUUAAAUUUUCAAUAAUAAUUAGACCAUACAAAUGGAAAUUGAUUAAGUGUUUAACAUUCUUUUCAUUUCUAUUGUAUGUGUUAAAUUAUUAUUUGUUUAAUUUAGAAUGGAGUGAAAAAAUAUGUCAAUUAAAUUAUACUAGAUAAUAAUAUUUGUAAUUGCUGUCAAUAGCGCUUAAUAUGGUUGCAUCUAAGAGUAUUAUUGUUGAUUUGAACCAUAGAGACAAACUAAGUGAAAAAAAUUACGAUGUUUGGCAUCGUAAGAUUGAGUAUCUUUUGGAAGAGUAAGAAAUGCUGGAAACAAUCACACAACCUAUGGCUGAACCUGAGCAAGGAAACAUUGCUCAACACAGGCUUGAUAUGAAAGCAUAUCAAACCUAUAAACGCAAGGAUAGUGUAGCUUGCAUUUUGAUGUUGAGCAGCAUGAGAAAUGAUAUAAUGCUGCGUUUUGAAAGGCAUCGUUCAACUCAAUCUGUUUGGAACACAGUAAAGAUUUAGUAUGGAGGAACCUUCACUACUAGACUUUGUCAGCUAACCCUCAAAUUCGAUAGUUAUAAGAAGCACCAAAAUCAGAAAAUGAGGCAGCAUCUUACGGUCAUGUCUAACAUGAUUAGUGAAUUAAGAGGUGCUGGACAUGAGAUGACUGAUGAACAACAAGUCUAAGCAGUUAUCCGUUCUUUGCCAAGCAAUUGGGAACACAUGUGUGUUAACCUUACCCACAACGACAACAUCAAGACAUUUGAUGAUGUUGCUCGUCAUGUCGAGCUUGAAGAAGAUCGACUUCACGCUAAGAAGCCUAUAAACAAGGUUUUUAUAUCUAAGACUAAAAUGUGUGGAGCAUAUGGAUUUAAAUAUAAAAAGGGUAAGGCUAAAGGUCCCAAAUAUGGCAAGAGAGGAAUAGAAGCAAGUAGUAGUGGACAUAAGCGCAAGCGUGGGAAACACGGUGGUAAGAAAGACAAGAAUAUGAAUUGUUUCAAUUGUGGUAAACCUGGUCACUUUGCUCGUAAAUGCACCAAGCCAAAGGUAAUGUUUAACCACAAUCAUCCCUCUAACUUAUACUUUAGCAGUUGUUUAAUGCUUGUUGAAUCUGUUCCUUUUUGGACUAUAAACUUAUGAGCAACUGACCACAUGGCAAAGGAUCGAACAACCUUUGUGGAAUUCCAUCGAAUUCCAAAGGGAAGUAGAUACAUAUACAUGUGGAAUAAUGAUGUCGCUACUGUGCUUGGGAUCGGUACUUGCAAACUGAAUUUGCGGGGCGGUCGCACACUUUAUCUUUAUGAUGUACUCUACGCUCCAGAAGUUCAACAGAAUCUUGUGUAUGUUCUUGCUUUACUCUAAUUAGGCUUUAAUAUUGCGCUUGUUGGUUGUUGUGUAAAAAUGCAUCUGGAUAAUAUUUUUUAUGGUUCUGGUUUUGUAUUAAAUGGUUUUAUGGUGUUAGACACCGUUAAUGUAUCUAUUAAUUAUGAUGCUUCAACUUAUGUUGUUCAAAAUUCCAGUACUAUUAAUGAUAGUAAUAUCAUAACUUGGCAUGCUAGAUUAAGACACAUUGGGCAAGAUUGAUUACAUAGAUUAGCAAAAGAUGGUCUUUUAGGAUCUUUUACCAAAGAAGAAUUGCCCGUUUAUAAGCAUUGCCUUGCUGGAAAAGCAACUAAAUUACCAUUAGGCAAAGCUAAAAGAGCUAGUAGUCCAUUACAGCUUAUUCAUUCAGGCAUUUGUGGCCCAAUAAAUGUAAGGGCAAGACAUGAAGGAAAUGAUUUCAUCAUAUUUAUAGAUGAUUUUCACAUGGUUUGGUCAUGUUUAUGUGAUCUCACGUAAGUCUGAAGCGUUGGAUUGCUUCAUUCGAUACAUAAAUCUGGUGGAGAAUAAACUAAGUACCAAGAUCAAAGCUUUAAGAACUAAUCGAGGAUGUGAAUAUCUAUCUGAACAAUUUAAAACUUUUUGUGAAGAAAAGGGUAUAGCUAGGCAGCUAACUAUUUCUUAUACUCCACAACAAAAUGGUGUAGCAGAAAGGAAGAAUAAAACCCUAUUUGACAUGGUUAGGUCAAUGAUGGCGCAAGCUAACUUACAAAUUUCCUUUUGGGGAGAUGCAUUGUUAACUGCUGCUUAUAUACUUAAUUGUGUGCCCUCUAAAUCUGUCUCAUCCACCUCAUAUGAACAAUGAAAUGGUGCCAAACCUAAUCUAGGUUAUUUCCAUCAAUAGGGGUGUGUAGCUUAUAUUCACAAUACUUCUCAUGAAUAUGGGAAACUUGGUCCUAGGGGGAAGAAGCUGAUGAAAGAGUGACAGAGAUUUAAUCGUGUGAUGUUGUAUUCUUAGAAAAGGUUUUUCCAAAGACAGGUGAGGUUGAAAAAGAUUUUCAAUUAUAUGAAAUGGAAAAUCUAGAUUAUGGCGCAACAAGCCAUUCAGCAGAGGACUUGAUGAAACUUUUAAUCCUCCUAGAAACAGUGGGAGUGAUAUUUUAUCUAUUCCUACUCUCAUGGAGCAAGAUCAUGAGCAAUCUCAACCUCGAAGAAGCAUUCGUGAACCAAUUCCUCGUCGUCGAUUUGAGAUUGAGGGGGAAGUGUUCAUGAUUGCUCCACAAGAUGAUGAAGAGCCUAAAACAUUCAGUCAUGCUCUAUCUAGUCCUAAAGCAAGAGAAUGGAUUAAAGCUAUGGAAGAAGAAAUGGAGUAAGUCUGGGACUUGGUUGAUUUACCGUCAGGACGAAGAUCCAUUGGAAAUAAAUGGGUUCUUAAAAUUAAACGUAAGGCAGAUGGAUCAAUAGAACGUUAUAAGGCUCGACUAGUAGUGAAAGGCUACACUCAAGAAGAGGGAAUUGAUUAUGAAGAUUCAUUCUCACCAAUUGUGAGGAUUACUUCAGUUCGCCUCAUUUUAGCUAUAGUCGCACAUAUGGACCUAGAGUUAUACCAAAUGGAUGUUAAAACUACGUUUCUCAAUGGAGAACUAAAUGAUGAGAUCUAUAUGGAUCAACCUUUAGGAUUCGAGACUAAAGGACAAGAGCGCAAAGUUUGCAAGCUUAAAAGAUUCAUAUAUGGUCUUAAGCAAGCCUCUAGACAAUGGAACAUUAAGUUUCAUCAAGUCAUCCUUAAGGAUGGUUUUACAAUGAUGGAAGAAGAUCAUUGCGUGUAUUUAAAAUGUUCUAACAAUAGUUUUAUAAUAUUGUCCUUAUAUGUUGACGACAUCUUAAUAGCUGGAAAUAGCAAAGAGAUGAUUAAUACUACUAAAAUGUGGUUAUCUUCAAACUUUGAAAUGAAAGACAUAGGUGAGGCCAGCUAUGUUCUUGGUGUGAAAAUCAUAAGAGAUCGCGCUAAAAGGCUUUUGGGUUUAACUCAAGAGACUUACAUCAAAAAGAUGAUAAAGCGCUAUCACAACUCUUGAAAUAUUGAAUCAUCAAUAUAUAUCUUUGGUAAUAAACGAUUCCCAUUAUCAUGCUCAAUAUGGACAAGAUUGUUGUCAAUCAGAUGAACUAUUUCUCUCAAAGGUGGAGUUUGAAUACCUAGUACCUUAUCCCUGAAGGAGACUCUCCCUGGGCUUGGUGAAGAUACGAAACCAUUCACUAUAUCAGGUGGUUUCGUAGGAAUCGAAUCCUCCCCAGACAAAAUAUCAGCGAACUCCGCGUUCAUAUCUCCCCAGACAGGCUAGCUCUAUUCUUCUAGUCCAAGGAAUUAAAUUUCUCUAAAUGCAUUUUAAACUUAAGAAAAACCUUUAUUAGCUAUAUUACCUUAAAAGUUUUUUAAAGGAGUAUACUACCCUUACUAUUAGCACAACUUUUAUUUCCCUAUUUGUUUUCCACAUUUCAAGUAUUGUUAUACUUUACAUAUCCAAUCAUUUUGGAUUAGCUUAUCUUAAACACACACUUAAUGUAGAUAACUUAAUCCUAAAAGUUGGUUUAGUGGCAAAGGAAGUUUGUUUUCUUUUUUUUAGUUAUUUUUUAAAUUCAAAUCUAAGGACUAGCAUCCAGAAAAAUUUAUUCAUCAAUUUUAUUUCCCUGCAUGUUUUUCAGAAAAAUUUAUUACUUAAUUCUAGAGAGUUGGUUUAGUGGUUUUUUAAGUUGAGAUCUUAGACUAGCAUCCAGAAAAAUUUAUUCAUCAAAGAAAAAACUUAAUAUUGCUUAAUGUAAUAUUGGUCAGGGUAACUUGAUAUAAUAACUUAAAGUUGGAUUUAUCAUCACUUAUAACUUAAAUCACAUUUAAUGGAUUACAAUAGUUGGAUAAAAUAAAAACCAUAAUAUUUGUUUUGGGAAAGUCUAGUAAAUGAACAACCGGUGAAUUUAUAAAAUUAAAAAUUAUAUGUUUUUACUAAAUAAUGAAUAGGUAUUUAUUCUUUGUUAUAAAAUUGAACACUCUUUUAUACAGGGUGUUUAUUUUGCAUAAUAUUUUAUAAAAAAAAUAUUUUCUUGGUUUUCCAAUAAUUAUUUUUCAUAAAAUAUUUCAUGGUUAACUUUUAAAUUUAGUUCUUGUAAAUAUUUUCAGCUUAUGAGGUUUUUUAAAAUAUUUUAUAGAUAAUAAUUCAUUAUCAAUAUUAUCUAAUAAUACAAUUACUAUCAUCUCACUACAAUGACCUCUACUAACCCUUUACUUUUACCCUACCCGAGCCAUUAAUGCUACCGCAACUAUUUAUAUUAUUAUUUUAUAAUCUAAAUAUAUUAUAUCAUUUUACUACCACUAUAUUUUUAUCAUAUCAUUAUUUAUAAAAACAAAUUAUAAAAAUACUAUCCAUAUAAAAUGCUUUAUGAAGAACUAUUUUAUAUGUAAAAUAUUUUAUAUUGGUAAAAACAAUUAUCUCUUAUAUCAAACAUUUAAAGUCACAAUUACAUAAUUACAUUGAUAAAACAAAAUUCACAAUUGCAAAUUUAAUUUAUAUUAACUACUUGGAUAAAUGAUUUUUUCAUAUAUAAUUCAAAUAAAUUAAAACACCAAGUUAUCAGAAUAGUAGUAACAAGAUGAAAUCAGUGCACACGUAGAAAAAAAAAUGAUAAAAUACAUGAAGAGAGAGAGCCAAAAUUAAAACACCAACAACUUUUCUAUUUGCAACCGAUUCAGCUUGAUUUGAAUACAUUACUCUGAUCAUGAUUGAAAAUAGUUAUUUCACAAUACAAAUUCCAAAACUAAUUUGUAUUUAAUUACGUAAAAACGUAUUUUUUAAGGGAUUUAGAUUUUGAAGAAAAUAUAUUUUUUAAAUUGAAGUGCCCAUUCCUUAUUAAAAUAAAUAUUCAUAACAAUCUCAAUACUUUAAGAAGGGAAAAAUUUAUUUCUUGGGGAAAAACUUUCAUUUCCUUAUUGUUUUUUUCUUACAAAAACAUGUCGUUUUAGGAGCAUAUUUUUUAAAAUAAUAACUUAUUCUAAUCUAAAAAGCAAGUUUCAAACAAAAACAAAAAUAAAAAAACUCAUGUCUUCAUGAUUGAAUAUUCAUAUACAAUGUUUUAAAUACUGUUUUAAAAAAAAUCAUAACAAGAAUCUUAUAUUUUCUUGCUUAUUUUCAUUACCCAAUCAAACAUUAAAAAAUGAUUUUCUACUCAUUUUUUUAUGAUAUAUUUAAAUAUAAAAAAAUAAUUUAUUUUCUUGAAAAUAUUUUUUUAUAUAUAAAAAAUUCAUCUUCCAAAACUUAAUGUACGAUUUAAGCAAAUAAAAGAGACAGGUAAAAACAUGAUUUUUCAAAAAUGGUUGUUAUGUGAUAUAAUUAUAAACUCUCAUUAGUGCAUUUUAUAAUGUGAUAAAAUGGUUUGCAUACAUGAUUAAGGAAUUAAGUAAUUGUUAUUGUCUUCUUGAGGCGAAUUCCCUUCUAGCAGGCAUCAUUAUGAAUUCAUUAAUUAAAAUCAUAACAACUUUCGGAAUGCGUAAAUGCAAAUUUUAUUGGAAUUAUAUUGUGCAAAAGGCUAUUGAAAGACUGUAAAUAUGCGCACAAAAUCAUUUAAUAUUCUGGUUGGCAGUAAGAAAAAUAAUAAAUGCUACAUUAAUUAUGGUACUUUCUGAAUUGAAACGAUUGAAUUAUUUUGGAUUCUUGCGAAUAAUGGAGUAAUUCGCUUUUAUUUCUUCAUCUACCAUAAUUACUUGCUGGUUGGGGUAAGAGCCGUACGAAGAAAAACACCAUAUGUGCUCAAUUUCAUCAUUACUGUGAAAAAGAAGAAAAGAGAUAAAUUGGGCAAACAAAUUAAAAACAAAUGAUGAAUUAACACGGUAACAAAAAGUUUUGAUAAAAUAAUAUAAUUUUAAAUAUUAUGAUUUAAAAAUAUAACAUAUAUUUCAUGUCACGAUUCUAAACCGAUUUAAUAUAACAUAUAUCAAGUCAUUUCCUUCACAUCUUCGCUUGACUUAAUAGUUAUUAUACCUAUAUAAUGUUAAUUGCACUGGAGCAGAAAUAAACAUUGUAUAAACAUGUUUUAAAUAUAAUAAAAUAAUUUUUUAAAUUUAUGAUUGAAGUUGCUAACAAAAUAUCAGGCAUAAUAUCAAUGAUAUCCUAUAAGUUCACAUUAAAUUUCUUCUACUCCAUUCUUUAUUGCUGAAUGUUUAUCUAAUAUUAUACAAAUAUAUGUUCUAUCACUAGUAACAUGUCUAUGUAAAUAAAUAAAAAAACAACUCUAAUUAGAAUUAUUUUCUUCAACAAUUGCAAAAGUCAAUGGGAAUAUCCUAUUAUUUGCAUCAAAAGUAACUACAGGUAAUAACUUCUCAUCAUAUCACCCCUACAAAUAUUGUCGUCAACACUAAUAAGUGCUCUAUAGUACUUGAAACUUUCAAUACAAGAUCUAAAUGACAAAAAAACUCUAAAAAAAAAAAAGAAUAAAAAGGACUUUUUGUAAGUAGAGUUGAAAGGGAUGUUGCAUCGCCAGUACCGUCGAGUGAAGAAUUGUAUGAUAUGAUCUCGCAAUACGAGGGCAUUGUAUUUGAUUUUCAUUAUGGUAAGAACAAGUUUCCUGGUUUUGGUGCGACCGAUAAUUGGAUAAAGCAAAGUAUUUUUUUGGAGCUUUCUUAUUGAAAGACUAAUCCCAUAUAAUUUGGAUGUCAUGUGUGUGUGUGUGUGUGUGUGUGUGUGUGUGUAAACAUUGUUGAAAAUAUUUUUACCAUGGUGAUGGACAUGAAAGAGAGGACAAAAAACAACAUAAAAACUAGAAUGAAUAUACCUUUCUUUUGUCACAGUAAAAAGAUGAAGUUGGUUUAUGAUGGGUCACGGGUCGCAAAGUCCAAAGCCAACUUCGCUUUAGAUAAAAAGACACACUUACUUGUUUAUCAAUGGCUUAAGAAUAUGCGUUUUCCUGAUGGAUAUGCGCGCUUUGAAAAUAUCUAGAUUUGUGAAUUUGGAGAGUGACAUAUUAUAUAGAAUGAAAAGUCAUGAUUACCAUAUGUUUAUGCAAACAUUCAUAUCACUUUCUUAAAAAAAUUUAAAUUUUUUAUUAUUUUUGUUUCAAUUUAAUAUUUUUUGGUAUUUUCAUAAUGUUUUGAUGUAUUGAUGUCAAAAAUGAUUUUUUAAAAAUAAAAAAAUAUAUAUUAUUUUAAUAUAUUUCUAAAUAAAAAAUAUUUUAAAAAACAAUUAUUAUCACAUUAAUAACGCACAAAGUAAAAAUGAGUGACUUUUCUCAAGUGAUUGUGGUUUUUACAUAUUAGUGAAACAUGGGCAUAAUGAAACAAUUCUUUUAAAUUUAAAAAAACAAGGCAUAAUCAAACAAUAUUUUUAAAUAUCAUUGUAAAUAAUAAUUUAAAGCAUUUUUUUAAAAUUUUAAAAAAGUGUUUCUUGGCCUAGGAGGUCAAGUUUGCGAGUGUGACAUUUUUUUCUUUUACAUUAAUCGGACGACUAAAAAAAGCAACAGAGUUGUUGAAGUUUCUUGGAUGUUUUUUUUUUGUGUUUUCAAAUUAAAAUUAAAUUUUGAGAUAAAAAAUUAAGUUUCAAUUUUCUUACUCAAAAUAUUCUCUAAUCAUUCUAAAAACCAAAAAUCAAACCAAAUCUAAACAAGCUUUAUGGGUCAUGAUCUAUUUUUCUCGACAUGAUUAAAAUACAAAACCACCUCUAUUAAACUCUCAUCUUGAUACGAUCAACGCAAGGUCAAAUUCGGAUUUUGAUGUAAAAUGUGCAACUAUCUAUUUUUACAGCAACAGUCAUAAUUCGUAAUCCGACUGUUGGAUCGGGCUGAAACUUUAUAUGGAGUCUCUUGUGAUGUUGUCCUACCUUGGGUUAAAAUGUCAGAUCAAUCGGAGUUCGGAAAGACAUCGCAAUACGGGUGAACAGAGCUUGUAUGAAUUUUAUAUAUGAUAUCCACAUGAUUAAGGAAUUAAGUAAUUGUUAUUGUCUUCUUGAGGCGAAUUCUCUUCUAGCAGGCAUCAUUAUGAAUUCAUUAAUUAAAAUCAUAACUUUCGGAAUGCGUAAAUGCAAAUUUUAUUGGAAUUAUAUUGUGCAAGGCUAUUGAAAGACAGUAAAUAUGUCUUUCAAUUGUUCUUACAGUCACAAUAUCUUAUUCUCUGACUGCUUAUUAGACAACCGUCUUCUCCAUCAGAGCUGGGCAUGAUUGAUAUCGUAAGCAUCAGAAUCAUCAAGCUUCAGCUUAACUAGUUCGCUGAUAUCAUAUGGAUAGGCGUCCUUUGGUGACUGACGUUUAUAUGCUCUUUUUCCAAAGGCCCAAGCUUUAGCUUCAGUAAAAUGGGCUCCAUCCCAGUACACAUAGUCACUCCUGUUGCUACAUGGGAAGGAGAGAGAUUUACAUGGGACUGAACCAGGUUCUACCUCGCAACAGCUCUUACGGGUUUGUGUAAAACCUGCAAGCAAGAAAAAAUAAUUUUGGUAUCACAAAAAAGUCGUCUUCAACGGUGAGAGAAAGAGAGCAAGGGAGGGAGGGGAUUCGUACCUGUAUUCGUCUGAUCAUCAGAAUCAAUUUCGUAAGAGUUUAUGUAGGUAAACACAGCAUCAGAAUGCCUAUUAUUAAGUUUUCUGAGUAGUUUUUGAAGCUUGUCGUUGAAAAUUUGAACAUCAUCAUUGAGCUUGUAUGCACAUGAAGAUGCAUCUAGUUCAUUGGGAUUUUUUUGUAUGUUGGACGGCAUACAUCCUACCCGAAUAAGUCCGAACACAGCUAUCUUUCUUGCUCCUGAGCAAUACAGUUUCUGGCAGCGAGGGAAAAAAAACGGAAUGAAGUGGGGCUCUUUGUUAGUAUCCAAUCACGUCAAACAUUAAUUGCUGUUUUACAAGAGACAUUAAGUAGGGCUGACCUCCAGCUGAGUUUCAUAAGUUUCAAUUAGAAGUUGAGCAUAUUCUUCAGGAGUAUAUAGCUUGCUGCUAUUGUAGUCGUCCAAGAAAUAAUUGUUGAGGUAGUCGUUAUGACCCAUAUCAGACACAUAGAUGCAUUGGCUUAAGUACUUCCUAGCAACUUCCUCGCUUCCCAAGAUCUUGGCAAUUCGUGAAACCGUGAUAUUGUGAUUAUAUAACUGAAUAUUCAUGGUAAAUAGUUCUCCCUUCACAUUCACAAAAGAAUCAUAUGAAUAGUUAGCGUUGCCAAAGCAUACAAGAUUCAUAGUACUGAAUAGUAUAAGGUUUUAGUUAUGAGAGACAUAUGAUCAGCAAUCACCGUAAGAUAGCCAGUUAAAUCAAGGAUGCCAGCUCCAUUCGAUCCAUAAUUUACACCAUCUAGAAAAUUGGUGCAACUUCCGACACCAAAGUCCGAAAUGUAACUGUCGAAACCUAAUUGUUCAGCUGAAACAAAAAAUAAUAAUAAUUAAGAUCUUCAUAAUAGAGUAUAAAAACAAUAACAAUGAUCACAGCUAUCUAAUUGUAAUUUAAUAAAACGGUCACAACUAUCUUUUAUUUUCCAUUAAAGAAAACUAAAACACUAUAUUUAAUUUGUAAUAUAAGGGAGGAGAGCAAACUGCAGACCAAUGGUGUCAGCUAUGUUGAGACCGUUGCUGCACCUUCCUGAAGCCCCAGUAUCAAAGUCGAUCCCAUAAGGAAGGUAAUUAACUUUAGCUGGAGUGCUAAGGUAGUUAUUGUUUCCGUUAUCAAAGAGGGAAUCUCCAAAGACGAAGUAGCAAGGAACUUGAGGUACGGCCUUUCCAGAAGUCCAGUGUUGCCAGUUUGACACCAGCAACACCACAGACAACACCCACAAUACCUUAACCCCACUUUCCAUUGACAAAUAAAACGAAAGAAGGAAACAAAAACAGUAAAUAUAGAAAGAAGGAAGAAGUGCGUAGCUAGGGAAGAUCGAGUGCUUUGAAGUAGAACGAACCAGGCUUAUUUAUAGAGUGGAGAUCUAGCUACCAGCUUGUAAAUGUGUUGUUCUAUUGUAAGCCACGUGUUUUUUUCAAUCUAAUUGGUUUACAAUGCCUUAUAGAUCUGAUAGUACGUAUCAUGUCUCCUUAGACUUGUCACUUACAGUAUUUCUUUCCCUUUAUUUUUGGGAGUUUGCUUUCUCCUUCAAAUUGAUCAAAUAUCUCUUUAUUUUCUGUACUUGCUUUAAUAAUUUUCGCUUCUUUCAUAGUCUUACUUAAUGUAAUUUUAAACCAUUUUUCCUUUUUUAGUUCUACGACAAAUAUAAGUUAUUGUUGUUUUAUUUUUUCAAACUACUCUUCAAAAAUAGAAUUGGUAAUUGAAUAGGCGAUUGCACUUUCUUCAAAAUUAAAAUUGGUAUAUCCUUUUAUGUGGCUUUUGUUUUAUUUAUUUUGUAAAAAUAUUUUUAUAUCAAGUAAAAUCAUCUAUAAUAAUGUCAAUAUCUGAAUACUUGAUUUUAAAAAUAUUUUCUAAGAUUUAAAUAUAUCACUUUCAAAAUUAACUUAAAACGUUCUUGUUUUGUUAUUAUAUUUUAUGGUAAUUAGAAACUCAUUUGUAUUUGAUUUGAACAAAAAAUCUUCUUUUAAAAAAUCCUGAUAAAAAAAGUAUUUUUUUCAUAUUUUUUCAAUAAAAUUAAAUAUUUUGCUAUAACUAUUCUCUUGUAACAAAUAAAUUAUAUUUUUAUUUAACUAUUGUAAAAAUAGUAAUUUAUUUUGUAUCAAUUUAAUAUUAAUAAAAUUAUUAUAUUUUUUUGAAAAAGAAUAACUAGUCCUAUUAACUGUAAAUAAUUAUAUGAAUAUUUUAAAUACUUAUCAUAUACUAAAAGUAUUAUUUCAAGAACUAGCCAUGUGAAGGAAUACAUCAUUUUGAUAAUUAUACAUAUACUAAAAGUAAAUAUGUUUUACUGUAGAAAUGACAGCUGAAUGUUUUUUUGCUUUUCACUGUAGUGGGUACUGUAAUGAAAUGAUGAUAAAUCUGAAUAUUUUUAAGAAAAUAAAUUUUUUUAAAAUUGUUUUUCUCUAACUGUUUUUAUCAUUUUAUACUUGACAUAUUUAUCAUCAUAUUUUUUUUUAUCUUCACUUUUUUAAAUAUCUUUUUAAUUUUUUUUCUUUACACUUUUUUAUGAAAAAAAUAUUAUUUUUUUUCACUCUUUACAAUUGAAAUAUUUAUUAUUUUACACUUUGCCUAUUUAUGCUAUUUUUUUUUAUUAUUAUCUUCAUUCUUUUAUAAUUGUUUUUAUAAUUUUUUUCUUUGUUCUACUUUACAUUUCUUUUUGAAAAAUUAUUAUACAAAGAAGAAAUCAUUUUUCAAUGUAGAAAUUGCAAUAUUAUUUUAUUUUUUUACUACGUUAAAAAUGAGUUUAAGAUCUUACAAAUCUUUAUUAAUACAUGUGAUUUUCAUUAUAUUUUAUAUAUUAUAUGUAAGUAUCAACCUUUUUUAUCUGUUGUCAAAAAACAAGUUAAUAAUACCUAUACAUUAAUUCAUUUGCAUUUUAAAAAAAUUAUUAGCAAUGUUAAUAUUUUAUUAUAUGUAAGCGAAUAGAAUUGUUAAUAUUUUUUAGUUUUGUAUUUAUAAGCAUAAAUAGUUCUUGAUUUAUUUAAUUAAAUGUGUAUAUAUGAAUAUUUUGAUUUAUAAUUAAAAAUUUUAUUAUAAAAAAACACAUUUAAAAAUUUUAUAUAUUACUUUUUUUACUAAAAAAGUUAUCCCAUUUGUAUCAAAACACGAGUAGAGUAAGAGUAAAAUAGCUAGUUUAUUAUAAUACUAUAAAACUGAAAACGAAAGGGAAUGGGGGCACACAACCAUUUAAUAUUCUUGUUGGCAGUUGGAAAAAUAAUAAGUGCUACAUUAUGGCACUUUCUGAAUUGAAACGAUUGAAUUAUUUUGGAUUCUUGCGCAUAAUGAAGUAAUUCGCUUUUAUUUCUUCAUCUACCAUAAUUACUUGCUGGUCGGGGUAAAAGCCGUACCAAGAAAAACACCAUGUGUCUCAAUUUCAUCAUUGGUGUGAAAAACAUUCGAAGAAAAGAGAUAAUUUGGCAAACAAAUUAAAAAGAAAUGAUGAAUUAACAUGGUAUUAAAAAGUUUUGAUGAAAUAAUGUAAUUUUAAAUAUUACGGUUUAAAAAUAUAAUAUAUAUUUUAUAUCACGAUUCUGAAUCGAUUUAAUCAAUGUUUUGUUGUUGAACCGCGAUAUCAAGUUAUUUCCUUCACAUCUCUACUUGACUCAAUAACUAUUACAACUAUAUAAUGUCAAUUGUACUAGAGCAGAAACAGGUAUUGCAUAAACACCUUUUAAAAUAUGAUUAAAUGAUUCUUUAAAUUUAUGUUUGAAGUUGCUAACAAAAUAUCAGGCAUAAGAUCAAUGGUAUCCUAUAAGUUCACACUAAAUUUCUUCUACUCCAUUCUUUAUUGCUGAAUGUUUAUCUAAUAUUAUACAAAUAUAUGUUCUAUAUAAGAUCAAUGGUAUCCUAUAAGUUCACACUAAAUUUCUUCUACUCCAUUCUUUAUUGCUGAAUGUUUAUCUAAUAUUAUACAAAUAUAUGUUCUAUCACCAGUAACAUGUCUAUAUAAACAAAGAAAAAACAACUCUAAUUAGAAUUCUUUUCUUCAACAAUUACAAAAGCCAAUGGGAAUAUCCUAUUAUUUGCAUCAAAAACAACUACAGGUAAUAACUUCUCAUCAUAUUGCCCCUACAAAUAUUGUCGUCAACAUUAAUAAGUGCUCUACAAUACUUGAAACCUUCAAUGCAAGAUCUAAAUGACAAAAAACACUAUAAAAAAGAAGGAAUAAAAAGUACUUUUUGUAUGUAGAGUUGAAAGGGAUAUUGCAUCGCUAGUACCAUCGAGUGAAGAAUUAUAUGAUAUGAUCUCGCAAUACGAGGGCAUUGUGUUUGGUUUUCAUUCUAGUAAGAACAAGUUUCCUGGUUUUGGUAUGACCGAUAAUUGGGUAAAGCAAAGUAUUUUUUUGGAGCUUUGAAAGCUAAUCUUUUUUUUUCAUAAUUUGGAUGUUAUGCAUAUAAAAAAGAACAUAUUUGAAAUAGUUUUACCAUGGUGAUGGACAUGAAAGGGAAGACAAAGGACAACAUGAAAACUAGAAUGAAUAUGCAUUUCUUUUGUCACAGUAAAAAGAUAAAGUUGGUUUAUGAUGGGUCACGGGUCGCAAAGCCCAAAGCCAACUUCGCCGUAGAUAAAAAGACACACUUACUUGUUUAUUAAUGGCUUAAGCAUAUGCGUUUUCCUGAUGGAUAUGCUUUGAAAAUAUCUAGAUUUGUGAAUUUGGAGGGUGACAUAUUGUAUGGAAUGAAGAGUCAUGAUUACCAUGUGUUUAUGCAAACAUUCAUAUCAGUUUCUUAAAAAAAAAAAUUAUUAUUUUUGUUUCAAAUUAAUAUUUUUUGGUGUUUUCAUAUUGUUUUGAUGUAUUGAUGCCAAAAAAAUUUUUAAAAUAAAAAAAAUAUAUUAUUUUAAUAUAUUUCUAAAUAAAAAAUAUUUUAAAAAACAAUUAUUAUCACAUUUCUAAACACAAAUUAAGAAUGAGUGACUUUUCUCAAGUGGUUGUGGUUUUUACAUAUUAGUGAAACAUGGGCAUAAUCAAACAACUUUUUUAAAUUUAAAAAAACAUGGCAUAAUCAAACAAUAUUUUUAAAUAUCAUUGUGAAUAAUAAUUUAAAGCAAUUUUUUAAAAUUUUAAAAAAGUGUUUCUUGGCCUAGGAGGUUAAGUUUGCGAGUGUGACAUUUUUUUCUUUUACAUUAAUCGGACGACUAAAAAAAGCAAUAGAGUUGUUGAAGUUUCUGGAUGUUUUUUUUUUUUGUGUUUUCAAAUUAAAAUUAAAUUUUGAGAUAAAAAAUUAAGUUUUAAUUUUCUUACUCAAAAUACUCUCUAAUCACUCUAAAAACCAAAAAUCAAACCAAAUCUAAACAAGCUUUAUGGGUCAUGAUUUACUUUUCUCGACAUGAUUAAAAGACAAAACCACCUCUAUUAAACUCUCAUUUUGAUACGAUUCACGUAAGGUUAAAUUCAGAUUUUGAUGUAAAAUGUGCAACUAUCCAGUUUUACGGUAACAGUCAUAAUUCGCAAUCUGAUCGUUGGAUCGGGCUGAAACUUUAUAUGGAGUCUCCUGUCAUGUUGUCCUACCUUAAGUUAAAUUUUCAAGUCAAUCGGAGUUCAGGAAAGUAUCGCAGUACGGGUGAACAAAGGCUGUAUGAAUUUUGUUAUUUACUUCUUUUUGACUUAUAAAUUUUUUAUUUAGUUAUGAUUCUUUUCCAAAAUAUCUUCAAGAUAAAUUCAUUGAAACCAAGAUCGAUUAUAGUUUUUGUGGCCAGAAUCUAGUUGAUACUAUUGUUUUUCUCUCCUUUUCUUUUUUAACAAUUCUUUGUUUUUUUUUCAACAUUUAGGGAUUGGAAUAUAAAAAAAAUAAAGUUUGAAACUAAAAUGUAAAAAUCUAAACUAUAAAGAUAAAUUAUGUAAAAAACAAAAAACUUUAAGAAUUCAUCGAUAACAUUCCUCCUGCAGAACCAGGGGGGGAAAAUGAUUGAUUGUGUAACCAACUGUCAUUUGCACGGCAUGAUGACCAACACUUUUAACUUUUAAAGUUUCUCCUAACCCGCGUUAUGUUAAUUUUUAGAAACUCCUAAAAUGAACACGUAUUUCCUUACAAGGAAGUUCAAAGCUAAAAUAAUAUAUUUUUUAUGAAUAAAUAAUAGCUAAAAUAAAAUUGACAACAACAAAAUAAAGCUUCAAAGCUAAAGUAAUUUAUUUUUUUGAAAAUAUUGUUUUAUAUAUAUAAAAUUCAUCUUCCAAAACUUAAUGUACGAUUUAAGCAAAUAAAAGAGACAGGUAAAAACAUGAUUUUUCAAAAAUGGUUGUUAUGUGAUAUAAUUAUAAACUCUCAUUAGUGCAUUUUAUAAUGUGAUUAAGGAAUUAAGUAAUUGUUAUUGUCUUCUUGAGGCGAAUUCCCUUCUAGCAGGCAUCAUUAUGAAUUCAUUAAUUAAAAUCAUAACAACUUUCGGAAUGCGUAAAUGCAAAUUUUAUUGGAAUUAUAUUGUGCAAGGCUAUUGAAAGACAGUAAAUAUGUCUUUCAAUUGUUCUUACAGUCACAAUAUUUUAUUCUCUAAGAACUUAUCGUCUUCUCCAUCAGAGCUGAGCAUGAUUGAUAUCGUAAGCAUCAGAAUCAUCAAGCUUCAGCUUAACUAGUUCGCUGAUAUCAUAUGGAUAGGCGUCCUUUGGUGACUGACGUUUAUAUGCUCUUUUUCCAAAGGCCCAAGCUUUAGCUUCAGUAAAAUGGGCUCCAUCCCAGUACACAUAGUCACUCCUGUUGCUACAUGGGAAGGAGAGAGAUUUACAUGGGACUGAACCAGGUUCUACCUCGCAACAGCUCUUACGGGUUUGUGUAAAACCUGCAAGCAAGAAAAAAUAAUUUUGGUAUCACAAAAAAGUCGUCUUCAACCGUGAGAGAAAGAGAGCAAGGGAGGGAGGGGAUUCGUACCUGUAUUUGUCUGAUCAUCAGAAUCAAUUUCGUAAGAGUUUAUGUAGGUAAACACAGCAUCAGAAUGCUUAGUAUUAAGUUUAUGUAGCAGUGCUGGAAGCUUGUCGUUGAAAAAUUGAACAUCACUGUUGAACUUUUCUACACAUGAAGAAGAUUCAUCUACGUCAUUGGGAUGGUUUUGUCUGUUGUGCGGCAUACAUCCUACCCGAAUAAGUCCGAACACAGCUAUCUUUCUUGCCCCUGAGCAAUACAGUUUCUGGCAGCAAGGGAAAAAAAACGGAAUGAAGUG
rnacentral:lncRNA from 1 species